UGAGUGUAUGAUGUCUUACGUAACAGGAGUCUCAUCAAAACUUUAGUAGAUCUGGCUUACUUGCAUGUGCUACAAGAUUGGCUCCGACAAUCUAUAAUCUUGACAGAGACUAUCUUAGCUGGGUUUCAACUUUCAAGUGUGAGUGAGACAAACAGGAAGAUAGAAGCUGUUAUUGUUUGGUCAUUCUAUCUGUGUAUCGAUCUGCUUCUAUCCCAGUAUAGGCCAUGUGUGUGGCACUGUCUAAUUUCCUACCUUUCUCUCGCAUCAAUUAUAUACAUGCGUUUAUUUUUUAUAUACUUAAUUAAUUAUACACAAAUACUAUAACCCUAAAAUCAUACAUUAAGGAGUAGAAAUCUUUAAAGGACAUUUUUGGGAUCUGAAGUAAUUAAGUUAAGCUAAUUUGCAAUUGCAAGGUAUUUAAUUAGUAUCAACUUGAAUAUCUUAAUAAUUAGUUCCUGAACAAAUGAUUCAGUGGAGUGGAAUUUUGUAUUUGUUAUAUUAAAGUGCUGACUUCUCAAAUAAAAUGCGCAAUUUUUUUAAAAAAAUAAUAUACAGUAUAUAACUAGUAAAAAUUGCUGAGCAAUAGUUAAUCAAUCGUAAUUUAUUUUUAACCCUAAGCAAUUAAAUAAAAGAUCCAAUAUCUAUCUUGGAUAUGAGUCUUAUUCUACGAACCUAUAUUAGCUAGUGACUCGUAAGAAGCAUAACUCCCCUUAAACUUUAGCUAGAUUCGAGUUUUAUAAUUUAAAAAAGAAAAAAAGACUUCAUUAAUGAGUUCAGUGAUUCAAUUCAAACUAGUAAGGAUUUAAGGUGACGUAUAUAUAAAUAUCAAAUGUCUCAUGCCAAAAGAUAUAAUUCUUAUCUUACGUAAGAGGAAAAUCUGUAGAAUAAUCUUUUUUUAUGUAGAAUUCUUCUCAUUCACAAAAGGAAAAGAUAAAAGAAUUUUUUUAUGUAGGAUUUUUUUUUUAAUGUAGCUUCACCAAUGUUAAUAUGGGAUUUUUCUUAUCUAUUAGUACUACUUUGCUUCGAUAGGAACUAAAACUUUAUCAAAAGUAACAGUGUUGAUGGAAACACUAGCAUAAAAAAGGUUUUUAAUAUUAGUAUUUUUACAGCAGUUCUAGUAAAAUCCAUAUAUAAUCUGUGAAGCGAUUACAAUUUUGUUAUAUUGAAUAACUAUUUCAAUUAAUUGCUAAAUUAUUAAUCUAGAAAAUAUUUUAUUGGUUUAGAUAGUAUUUUUUAUAACUUUUAAGACUCUUAACAAGUUAAGAUGUUCUAGAUUGGUUGCACUACAAUUACAAUCAAUGUAGAAAAAGACUUUGUUUUCCUAACCUCUAUAAACGCCCUUAUCAGAAAAAGACUUUUAAGACUUUGUAUCAAAACCCUUAUUCAUAACCUCUAUGAACGCAAUUUUUGUUCAUUGCUUUGUGACCCGCGUCUCCUCCUUCUCCAUUAUAGUUAUGUGUUUUUUUCUUGUUUGUACUCUGACAAAGGUAUUCUCAUUUGUAAUUUUAGACUUACAAAUGGACAUUAUCCAAAUGCAAAGUUUUAGAAAAUGUAUCUAGGCUCGUAGUUGUAAAAACCGGCUUGGGUUGGACGGUCCGAUUGGUUGAACUGGAAACUGAUGGUAUAAUCGAUCUAAGUCGCUCGUUAAAUUGGAUAUAACAUUAACUUGAACCAACUGAUUUUGCAAUUGAAUUGGUCUUAUUGAAUCAAUAUUUCUUAUUUUUUAAAAUGCAAGUUUUAAUGAAAAUACAACCAAAAUAACAUAACAAAGAAUCAAAAUCAAAGACUAGAAAAUUAUUUAGUAGAUAAAUUUCCACUAAUAAAUAAACUUAUCAUGCAAAUAAUAUAUUCUAUUUGUUUCAUUAUAAUUAUGAUCCUAGAUUAUUUUUAUAUAUAUCAAGAAAACAUAAUAAAUAGAUAAAAGAGAAUAAUUUUUUUAUAAAAUUAACCUUAUCAUCAUUAAUUUAUUUUAAUUUUUGUUGCCUAUAUCAUUAAUAUUAUAAGAAAUAUAAAUGAAAAAUGUAGUUAAUGUUAUUAAAAAACUAAAAUGAUAAUUAUUUUAGGACAAAUUUUUUCUUCUUACAUGACGUGUAACACCCCAAAAAUAAUCCAAUAAUUAUUUAGAUAAAGACAUCUAAAUACAUCUUUCAAGUAAAUAAAAAGAUAGAUUAAAUUGUUUUAAUAUAAUAUAUUGUUAUUUUUUAUUUUGAAAAUAUGUUAUUAUUAUAGUAUAUUAGAUUGGUUAAAGAUAAUAAAAAUAAGAGAUGAAGAAAGGUUAGUUAAACAAAUUUCAAAAUAUAUAAUUUCAAAUUAUGAAUAACGCUUGUAAAAGGAUAAACAAUUAAUAUCUUUUGACAUUACUGAGUUGCUCAAGGAGUAAGAAGAAUGAAAAAAAACGAAGAAAUUUUGUUGAGACAAAGUUGAUGAAGAACUCAAAUUACUUAUUUCAAGAAGUGAAUAAAACAACAUUCUUCAAUGAAGAAUGAAGAAAACUGAGAAAUUUUGUCGAGAUAAGGUUAAUUAUACCCAUGAAUGAAGAAUUGUUUAUACAAUUUUGAAUUAUAUGAUAGAUACCUUCAUAUGAGACGGAGAAGAAAUUCUGGAUACUUUCGUCUAUGAUGGGGAAGACAGUGAGACUCCAUUUCAUGAAAUAUGAGCUCAUAUACCCUUUGAAGAAUCUGAGAUCCACACUGGGAACCACUAAGUUGUGUCUGUUAUAUUUGAAUGUGUUGAGGUGUUGUCCAUUUAUUUAACUAUUUUAUUUAUUCAAAAUAUCAUGAAUUGUGAGUAUUUUAAUCUAAUUUUCAUUAGAGUAUAUAUAUAUAUAUAUAUAUAUAUAUAUAUAUAUAUAUAUAUAUAUAUAAUCUUAUUUUAAAUUCAUUGUGGAUAUCAUGGAUAAUUUUUUAGAUUAUCAUGCUGGUUGAGAACAAUACUAUUUACAAAUAUUUUAUGUUUAUUUUAUUUACUGAGAUUAUCAUGUCAUUAAAAGUGUUGUUUUUAGAGCACGAGGAAAAAACAGUUAAAAUUAAGGAAACUUGAAGACUUAAUUACCUUUAAAUACAUUUUUAACUUUGUUAGUACUAAGAAUAAUAUGUCGAAUGUGAUUGAUUAUAUUAUUACAUUAUACUUUUUAGUAUCCGUUAUCUUUAUAUGACUAUAUUUAAGAAUAAUAUUUUUACUUAUGUAAAGAUUAUUUAUUUGAUUUUAUUUAUUAUACGUUAGGUAUUUUCGUAUUAAUAUAAUUUUUGAGAUUUUAUAUUUUUUUUAAUAUGGGAUGUUACUUUAAUGAAGAUCAUUAUACGACUAUUAUUAUGGGACAACCAAAGCAAGUAUAUACUUAUUUUUAAGUUACCUAUUAACCCGGUAUUUUGAUUGAGUAGAUGAAUUAACUGAUUUUUAUAACACUAAUGAUAUACACUUAUAUUAUUUUCUAAACAUUUGGAAAAACACAUUUUUCUUCCUUAAAAAAAAAAAAAACAGGUUCUGUACUUUUGUGCAGUUUUCUUGUUUAUAUUUUGGGGCGAAAACGCCUCGAGUAUCCAAUAUCUAUAUAUAAUCUAGCCUCUUGUCUUGCAUGUAUAAGUGGGGGCAGCUGAAUUAAAUUUCACACUAUUCUGCCUUUUUUGUGUCUAAUAUCCUAAAAUAUAAUUUGGAGAAUGAAAAUGUCCAUUUAUAAUUUAAUGACUAGAAUAUUAAUAAAAAAAUUUGAUAGAAACACAUCACGUACCCAACAGCCUUGCACACGAGGUAGAUGGCAUAGAUACCACAACAAAACCUUAAUUGUAUGUAUUAUCUUGUAUUCUUUCUUCCUUACAUUUUGUGCUUACUCGCUCUUCAGCUUUGCCCGUGUUCAUGGCCUUAUAGACAUCACGGGAUGUGCCCCAGUACUUCCCUUACCUUGCAUUUCAUUAUUCUUAUCUAUCUUCAAAAUAAAAAUGAUAUGAAGGAUGACCAACAAUAUAAUUCAAGCCUAUUAACGAAGGUGUCAAACUGUCAAUGACAUUAUUAGACUGUGCAGCACAUUAUUGCAAUCAAUAUUAUGAGUGUUCAUGUAGUGCAUGAGCAUGCAGGACGCCACCUUUAUAAUUACUAUAAGAGGAGUUUUUUUAUUUUUAUAAUUGGUAGAAAUAUUUAUUGAUUUUGUUGAUAAAUAAUUUUUAAAGGAAAAUUUGGUUAAUCACCUUUGAUGGAUCUUCUCUCAAUUAUAUUUUUUUUUCAUUCAUAAACCUCAAAAUCAAAUCUUAUUUAAAAAAAUUAAACUUAGAUACUAAGAAGAGAUAUGUAAUAAGAAAGUAAUGUCCAGCUGUAUAUGUUUUAAUUUUAGCCUUAGGAUAUGUGUGAUGCACACCGAGCUACAACACAAAAAAACAACACGGAAUAAAUUUUUGAGUUAGUGUACAACUUUUUUUGUCAUGUGUAUUGUUUGGUGGACAAUAAAAACAUAAGAAAAAAAUGCAAAAAUUACCAAAAUAUCAUUUUUAUUAUUAAUUAUUAAGUAUCUUAAUGUGAUUCAUAUUAUUAUUAUUGUAAAAUAAAAUUUAUUAUGAAAUAUAAAUAUAAUUCAUAUAAUUAUAAUAUAUAUUAUAUAAAUUAUAUAUAUAAACAUAUAAUAAUAUAUACUAUAUAUAAUAUUUUAUUACACAUAUGUAGUAAUACAUAAAUAUAUAAUAUUAUCAUAUUAGGUGAACAUACAAAAAUAUGUUUAUUAUAUUAUUAUACUUACUAGUGGCCCUAAACAUCAAUAAAAAAAGAGGUCAUAAAUAAAAUUUGAGAUCUCUGAAGGAAAAAAAAACUGAGAACUGAAAGUAAAGAUUUAAUGAAGAAAGUGACGGUUAUUAAAAAAAAUAGAAAUGAAGAAAAUAACAAAUAAUCAGAAUUUUUUUAUGUUCAUCAGCAUUUAAGUUGUAUUGUCUCAUGAUAUAUUUUAAAAUUAAAUAUUGAACAAUUAGAAUUGUCCUGUCAAGUGCCACACUUUUUACAAAUUUAAUUAACACAUCGUCCACUUAAUUUACACGUUAAUUUUAACAUGAGUGGUGAAAUUCUGAAAUACUUUUACAAUCAACGCACCAGCAGCAAGAACAAAUAUGUUAAAAAUUUCAAAGAAAUCGAUCAAGGAUAAACGGGAAAUUUGAACCCAUGUACAUAUGCUAAUUUAUGUAUUUGACGUAAAUAGAAUUUCAUAGCUCUACGUUGGGAAGGGAAAAUGUAACAACUUAGCUCUAACACUGCACGUUCUGAGUUUGGGGGCCUUUCAUUCUCUAAUCUUUGUAAGGCCCAAUUUCUCUAAUUAGUCAGUUUGGUUGCCUGUUUUUUUAAGAAAAAAAUCUUAUGAGAAUGUAUUAAAAAAUUAUAGCAAUAUAUUUUUUUAAUACUUUCAGACAUAUUUAUUAGAUAGAAUUUACGUGGGUUACCCCAUUUUCUAUUUAAUGAGUUUCAUUUUCAAACUAGUGAAAUUCACAUAAAUUUCAACCAAUCAAAAACAAUAUAUCAAAAAAUCCUUAAAAAAUAUAUUACUAACACUCUUCGUACGUCCAUAAAUACUAAACUUAUAAGGAACUAAUACACUUGACUGUUAAAAAAAUGAGAACAACGCAAAUGGGUUAUUUCAAAUUUAAAUGGUUAAAAUUAAAAAAAAAAUACAAAAUACAUUUUCUGACUGCUCAAAUAUGAAAGUGCGUGUAGAGAACAUAUAUAACCAAAAUAGUUCUUAUUUUAAAAAUGUAAGAAUCAUAAGUUUAGAUUAUACAAUCUUAUAUUUUUUUAUUUUAACUUUUUUAGGAAAUAAUAAGAAGAAUAAAAAUGAUGAUGAUAAUAAUAAUAAUAAAUAAAUAAAUAAAAUCAUCAAAGGCCUUGGAAAAAAUUCAUGACUACUGUGUACAAUGAAUUAAGAGAAAAUCCAAAAUUUGAAUACAGUUCCUCAGGUGUUAUUCUUCUACCAGAAAUUUUUUUCCUGGAUUCUUCUAUCAGAAUUAGAGAUUAAUUAAUCUACACAAUAAAGGUAUGCAUUAAAUAAUUACUCAGAUUACCUAAGUGAAACUUUAAUUCCAGUUAAGAACACCAUCUAAAGAAUUCCAUCUAAAUUUUGUCCUUAAGAAAAAUAAGGUAGGUGUAGAAAAAUUAGGAAAGUUUUAACAAAAAUCUAUAUUUAAUAGCCCGUCAUUGAUUUAGGAGGACCUCAACUCCUCAUGAUUAUCCAUGUGAUGUACAGGAAAUUUUUAUUGUAUUUGACAUUUUAACAGAAUUGCGAUGAAUUAUUUGAUCAAAUAUAUAGUUUUAAAUUUAUUAUUUGAAUGUAUUAAUUGCUAAAUUAUUUCAUUUCUAUUUUAAUAAUUGUAAAAAUAUAAAAUAAAAAUUGUAUAAAAAAGUGCAACGGGGUGGGGUUUCACAGGCAAGGCAGAAACAUACUCAAAUUUGAUCCCACUUUUUUUAGUAGGGAAAACCCCAACCCUAACCCUAAGUAGGCUUUUCUGUUUAAAAUGGGUCGAAGUUAAAGAGGUAUCCAUGGGUUCAAACUUACCUGCCAUGCCAAAUUGUUGUACUUGUUACUACUUCAUUUUUACUUACAUAUACUGGCUUCACUUUUUUUAAUAUAAGAUUUAAUUUUUUUUAGCUCAUAUAAUUUAAUGUUUUUUAUUUAUUUUUGGUUCUUGUAAUUUUAAAAGUUGUAAUACUUAUUAUAUUUGUUUUUCCUUAAAACAGUUUAGAUAUUAUUUUGAAUGGUGAAAAAGGUUAUCUAAAUUGUUUAAAAAAUAAAAAAUAAAAAAUAAAACAAAUAUAAGUUACAAAAACUAAAAUUAAAAUUAAAAUUUUGUAAGCACGAAAAAGUAAAAAAAUAAUAAUUAUUUGUAAGCACGAAAGUGUUGAGCAGCCAUAACCAUAUAAAAAAAUUAAAUUAAUUUUUCUAUCACAUGGACAGAAUGCUCGGCAUAUAUGAAAUUUUUUUUUUUAAUUUUGAAAUAAUUAGUUUUUAAAUAGUUAUUUUAAGAUUUAAUCAAAAAAUUAAUUAUAUAUAAGAUAAAUAAAUAUCUAAUAAUUAUCAUAUAUGUUUCUUAAAUUAUAAAAUUGAAUUAUAUUUGAAAUUUAGAAUUUUAUUUGAUUUAAAAUUGAAUUUUAUUAUAUUGGUAAAAUUGCAGUUUCAUAAGAUUUCUCAUUUCUUUUUCUCUACUUUUUAUAUAACCAAAAAAAUAAAAAUAAAUCACUCUAUAUCAUUUCUGCCUAAUUCCAUCAAUCUAAACAAUACAAAAUUUCACUCAAAAAUCACUUAAAUUAAUAAAAAAAAUUAUUUUUUCUCUCAAUUUCACUUCCUAUCCAAAUUAAAUGUUAGUUAGCAAAGUAAGGGACAAAGUUCCUUUUUGUGUCAUAAUUAUGCUUUUUGCAUAGUCAAAUUGUGUGUAAUUAAUAAAGUAUUCAAUUCAUGAUGUAAUUUUAUCACUUAUAUGUAUCAGCCACAAUUUCUUCUUUUAAAAUAUUUUUUAUUUGGUUAUAUUUAUUUUUAAAAAUUAAAUAUUUCUUUCUUUCUGUUUUGCAAAUAUGCUGGGUUCUUAAUACUUUUUUUUACAGAAAAGGUUCUUAAUACUUAAUACUUGUAAAAUUUAACUUUUUAUGUGCUUAAUUUGUACGACAAAUUUAUUUAAUUUAAACAUUUUUUAUAAUUAAAAGGAUCAUCAAGUAUUUUAAUAGAAAGACACAUUGUAAAUAAUAUCUUCAAUAUUUGGUAGAAUACAUAACAUCAAUUAGAAAAUUAUAAUUAAAAUCAAUCAAAAAAUCAAAUAAAGUAAAAUGGUAGGAAAUUUGGAAUGUCGUUUUGUAAUCAUGUGAUUAUAUAUUUGCAUCAAAGUCAGAUCGGACAGAUACUCACAAGUUCAAAUUUAAUUGUCAUAUUUUUUUAUUAUAAUUAAAUGCAAUAUAUAAAAUUUUAAACAAUAUUAAAAAUGUGAUCAAAUUAUAUUUCAGUUAUCCUUAAACAUAAACAGUGAAUUGAAUGCCCAGUAAUUCAAUGAAAGAAAGUUUCCUGUUUGAAGUGUUUAUAGAUAAACAUUUAAACAUCAUUACAAACCAAAACAAUCAAUGAUAUUUGUCAAAAUUGAAAUGGAAGAAGCAAACCAGGAAACGCAUGUACAUUAUACCACAAAUACAAGCCCAGAACUAGUACACCUUAAUGCUUGUAACACGCGGUACCCUCAAUUUCGGUGUUGAGAGAACAGUGCAUAAAAUAAAAAAUACACCCUACAAUAUUCUUGUACGCAUUGGAAUCACAAGAGUACAAUUAUUUUACUCAAUUCCGAAUAUCAUGUCAGUAAUACUACAUCUUAGGCUCAGACUAUGUGAGCCUGCAAUUACAGUAAAACUAUAAGGAAAAAAAAUAAACACUAAACUAGCAGUGUUUACAAUCAUAGUAAAUCAAAGUAAAGAAACAAUCAUGUAACUGUUAGUUUUCACUUUUCACCACAACUAAUUGAUGCCACUUCUAUUUACAAUGAGCCUCCGCUUCUGUUACUAGCUUCACCGCCUUACUUUUUCUCUUCUGAUAUUUAGCAAAUGAAUACCACACACCACCAGCUGUAUUGAUAACCAAUCCAGACACAUUCAAAGCAUGGACUUGAACACCACCCAGUAAGAAGAAAACAAGGGUCUGAAGAAGCAACAAGUAACAGAUUUAUUCUUGCAGUUAAAAGAACAUAAAGGAUGUGCAAGUCAAAUAAACUACUAAGAAAAGAUGUAUUGAUAAUGUAUAUGUAUGAACAUGAAUAUUCCGGGCCAGGACAACAAUUUGAAAUUCAAGUUUUUGUGCUCUGACAGAAAUUUUCUAUGGCAAACGCAGGAUCAGUCCCAGCUUACCGUGGAAACAAUCCCUUUGAGAACGCCAACAAUAGUUGUAGUAGUUAAGGCUGAAUUAACUAUUGUGCAUAAGAACAUGUUGAAGUUGAGAACGAUGCCCAUCACCAACGCAAGAAUAAGAAUAACCAAAAAUGAAAAAGAAUAACUCAGCAAAAGAAAACAAAAUAUUAGUUUUGGCAUCAAUUUAUUACUAAAUAAAAUAUGACCCAGCUAUGGCAUAUCAUCAAAUACAUGCAAAUUUUUAGCUUUUCCAAAAUAUGCUGCAAGUUAUGGCUCCAGUUGAUAAUCAUCACAAUUUAUUCUCACAAAAUGAUUACUAAGAAUAAACUUUCCCAGCACCUUAAUUUAGGAGAACAAAAGAAUCUGAAUCAGCUGAUCUAUAUUAAUUUAAUGUAUAAUUGUAAAGCAUCUGGCAUAUUAUAAAGGGACAAGUGUUUUAUGAAUGCAAAACAGACCCAUCUCAUCAUGCCAAUCAAAAGUUGAUGCCUUGUCUUGUUUUCUACCAUAAGAUCAAGUGAUUCAGCCUCACAGCCCCUCCCCUCCCCCUCUCUUUUUCCUUGAAUUUCUGUUACAUGUCCAAUCCUAACAAACUCAAAAUUAUCUCCAAACCCCCCAAGGUCACGAUUAUUUUGCCAGAAAUGAAUCUAUGCUAGAUUCUGAUAAAUAUUCUACAAAGGACCAAUACAUAGAAAAUUUGCACAAAACUACUCGGCGGACAUUAUCAGUUAGAGGAAGGGAAUAAAAGUGAUGAUAAAAUUCUUCCUGAAAUGUCCAACAACACAGGAAAGCAAUUAUAAGGAAAUGAAUGAGUACUUAACUAACAUAUUUGCGGUUUGGGAUUAACUAUAGUAUCACUGAGGCUUUUGGCAGUUCCUUGUGAAACAAUUGAAUUUAUUUGAUUGAGUAUAUAAAAAGACAAGAUCUAAAAUGUCUAAAAAUCCUAUUCAUGGUAGGGUAAUCAUGAAUCAAUUCCAAUACCAAGAACCAGGUUAAGAUUCUGACCUUUGCAAAUAAUACAGAUAAAGAAUUUGGGAGUUCCCCAGUGGCUAUGAUGAGAAACAUAAAAAAUGGAAGAGAUAAAAAGCUGUUAUAGAACAUGAUUUCCAGGGAUGAAAGUCCGUCCUCAGCACCAGAUUUUUCCACCAGCACAAGGUACAUGGUCUGCAUAUACGAGUAAGUAGCACUAUGAGCAAACCGUGCACAUUACUCCAUUAUAAGAUUAAGAACUAUGAUAAAUCAGCAUAUCACCUGGAAAAAAAACGGAAACAAAGGCCAUGAGAAAAAAUCUCCAAGGGCAGCAAUGAGAACUCCGGCAGCAGUCAAUAUCACUGAAAGAGCAACCUGAAAUUUGACAGAAAAUUAUAUAUAAAGAUUUCUCAGCUCCAGAAAGGACAAGAAUAAAAUGCUACAGAAAAGGCAACAACUUUGGGGUUAGACCAACCCACAUAUUUUAUCAGGUAUCGGCAUCUUAGUCUCGAGGUUGGAAGUUCCUAAUGGUUCGUGUGGUAGGAAAAAAAAAAAUAAGAUUAUCAAAAUAUUUUCUUUUGUUUGUUUGGAGGAAAAAAUAGAAAGAAAAAUUAUUUUUCUAGAUACCUGUCAUUUUUUUUUUCUAAUUCAAAUUUUAAAAUUUUUCUUCUUUUCUUCUUUUCCUUCCAUCCAACCAAACAUAUCAUAAAAUUUGAGCCCGAUGGAGACUCGCUGGGGUGAUUUUAUCCAUUAACCUUCUCUAGCCCUCAACAACAUGGGAUUCAGUAAAAACUAAUUUAAGAUCUCAAUUUAAAAUAGCUUAAUUUUAUGAUGAGUCUCUCUAUUUUUUACAUUUUAUUAAAUCGGUCUCCUUAUUUUUUAAUUUAUUAUUGGAGUCUUCCUACUUUUAAAAGUCUCCAAAGAAAAAUUAAACGUUAAUUUAUUUUAAGCGUGUGUCAUUCUGGUAGUUCAGUUUGGACUUGUGUUGCUGAUUUUGGGAAUUAGACAUUUUUGAUAAUGUAAAAGUUAUAGAUUUUGGAUGGAUAAAGUUUAUGUUUUGGGAUUGGGAUAAUCAUUUAUUAGAUAAUUAUUAGUUAUCAAGUUAAUGAUGAGAGUAAAUUAGAAAUAACAUAAAUAAUUAAUCACUUUACUUAUCAAUAUCUCUUAAAUGAUUAAUUAUAUCCGAACGUGACCAUUAACAUUUUAAGUUAAAAGUUAACUUUUAAUUUUUUCUUUGGGAAUUCAGAUAAUCAAUUUAAAAAAAGAUAGAAGACUGAUAAUGAAUUUAAAAAUAGGAAAACCAAUUUAAUAAAAUGAGAAAAAUAAAAAGAUAUUUUUUACAAUUAAAUCAUUUAAAAUCUAUCACUAAAAAUGUUUAUUAUUAACUAUCGCCGCCUUUUUCGCUGUAACACAUCCAAUCCCCUAACAAUAACAUCAAAUCAAAAUUAUAUUAGUUUAUGUACUUUGUAGAAUUUUUUCAAUUACAAACACAUUUGUAUGUCUGGAAUUUGCUAACAUUUGCUUAUUUGUUUUUUAGUUUUAAUACCUUAGUAAAUUACAAUUAUUUUGAAAUACACUUACAAUGUAGUUUGUUAAUGUAUUUAAACUAAAAAAACAAGUAAAUAUACAUUAACACAUUUAUUAAUUGAGAAAUUUAUCAAAACAAGUCUAAGUAUACAUUCUUUUAUAACAUUUUAUUGUGAUCAACAGAACUUCAAGAUUUUAAAAAGAGAAAAUUAUUGUGAAUAAUUAAAACAAGUCUAAGUGUAACUCUCUUCAUUACAAUAAUAACCAUAACAAAAACAUACUAAAAAUACUAUAAAAUCUCAAAUUCAUAAUACUAUAAAAAUAUCUCAUGUAUAAUACAUAAAGUCAAAUAAAUGAAUUUUUACAUAAAUAAAAAUAUUAUCUUCAAAUAUGAAUAUCUAAACUAAACGAAUGUUAAAAUAUAACGAAAGUAGUCACAUCUAAUAUCUUAUUAUGAAAUACUAACUAGUAUAAAGUAAACAUAACUAAACUAAAGAAAAUUACAUCUUUAAGUCUCCUCAAUUUCAACAAUUUCUUUAUUGUAUUUUGAAAACAAUACUUUUAAUGAGAUGUUAAUUUCAAUGAAUAAAAUAAGUUUUAAAAAGGAAUUCGCAAACACUAUUGUUCCCAACUACACACACACAUAUUCCAAUAAAAGUCAAAAUAAAACAAUCACAAUUUAUGCAUAACAUUCUAGAUGAUAAAAUAUUUAAACUCCUCGGUGCACUCAAAUAAACAUCAUGAGAUACACACCUCAAAUUUUUGUAAUCAGUUGACUUAAGUCUUUGGUUCUCAAAUGGAGGUAUUAGUAUUCAGAAUCUCUCCCUCAUCUCGAAUGGAGGUAUCUCAUGCAUAUUAAUUUCAAAAUAAAUAGAAUGUUCAUCAUCAUCCAUUCCCAAAAGGUGAUGACCAACACACAUAUAAUUACAAAAUAUCAUUCUAAAUAAUUAACAAAUAAAUUUUCUAAUUCCUUUCACCUGAUAAUAAUUCAUAAGUGUUGGGGAGAAAGAGAGAAAACCAGGAAAAGACAUAUACUAAAAAUGAGAUGAAUUGCAUUAUAGAAUUGAAUUACAUAGAGGUUAUUUAUACAGCUCAAGUUCAGCCUCAAUCACUGCCUUAUCACACUCAACUAACUAAACAAACUACCAAACUUACAUCUAAUAUUCUGAAUUACAACUAACACACCCCCUUAAUUCAGAAUCUCCAUAGGUGAAACACCAAGCUUGUCUCUCAACACUACAAAGUUAUUCACCUUUAAUCCUUUUGUAAAAAUAUCUAUCAGCUGCAUUUCAGUGCUGCAAUACCUCAAAUCCAGCUGCUUCUUGCUCAUCUUUUCUCUCAGAAAAUGAAAUAUAAUCUCAAUAUGUUUUGAUCUUCCAUGUGCUACUGGAUUCAUGACCAAACUGAUAGUAGAUUUGUUGUCUACAUACAAUCUAACUGGCCUUUGAAUUUCCACCUUCAAUUCUUCAAGCAAGGAGUCCAACCACAAAGCUUGACAUGCAGGAUAGCAGGCUGCUAUGUACUCUGCCUCACAUGAGGAUAAAGCCACCACUUGUUGUUUCUUGGAACACCAGCUUAUUGAUGUACCCAGAAACUUGAAAAGAUAGCUUGUAGUGCUUUUCCUUUCCACCUUGUCUCCACACCAAUCAGAAUCUGAGAAGCCAAUUAAUUCUGAAAUUUCCACCUAGUUUGUGAAAGCAUCUUGAUCACUUCCUUAGUAAAAAAAAUACCAUAGCUGAGUGUGCCUCUAAGGUAUCUCAGAAUCCUCUUGGCAACAGCCCAAUGAGAGGCCUUAGGAUUGUUUGAAAAUCUGCUAAUUAGACUCACUACAAAUGAGAAAUCUGGUCUUGUAUUACAGAGAUAUCUCAAUGACCCUACAACUUGCUUGAAUAGGGUGCUAUCCACUGAUUUUUCUGACUCAUCCUUCACUAACUUCAAGCCUGGUUCAACUGGAGUGGAUGCUGGAUUGCAACUCAUCAUCUGGAAUCUUUUGAGCAGAUCAGUUGUAUACUUUUGUUGGUGCAUGAUCAACAACUCAUUUGCUUUCUUGAAUUCCAUUCCCAAAAAAUAUGACAGUAAUCCCAAAUCUGUCAUUUCGAAUUCAAGCUUCAAUCUCUCCUUGAAUUUCUCUAUGGCCAGUGGAUUGCUUCCUGUUAUCAGUAGAUCAUCAACAUACAGGCACAAAAUUAUCAUGUCUUCUUUGUCAUUCUUCCUUACAUAUAUUCCAUGUUCCUUUUCACACUUGUGGAAACUUUCUUUUAUCAGAAAAGAGUCUAUUCUUUUGUUUCAGGCCCUUGGAGCUUGCUUUAGGCCAUACAAUGCCUUAUACAAUAUGAACACUUUAUCUUCCUUGCCUUUGAUCUCAAAACCAGGAGGUUGUUUAACAAACACCUCAUCUUCCAAGGUACCAUUCAGGAAAGUUGACUUUACAUCAAGCUAGUAUAAGGACCAAUCUCUAUUGUGGGCUAGUGCUAUUACCAACCUUAUGGUUUCUAGCCUAGCUACUAGAGCAAAUACUUCAGAAUAAUCCAAACCAGCUUUUUGGAGGAAACCUCUUGCAACUAACCUUGCUUUAUGCUUGGCUACAGAUCCAUUUUGCUUCAGUUCUAGCUUGAAUAUCCACUUCACAUCAAUGGGAGACUGAUUUGAAGGCAGGUCAACAAGAUCCCAGAUUUGAUUUCUUUCAAUUGCCCUCAAUUCCUCUUCCAUUGCAGCCUUCCACUGAUCUUGUUGCAGUGCAUCUCUGAAAUCAAUUGGUUUAACAUUUGCCAAGAAAACAAAAUGUACAAACUCACUUGCAUUCCUCUUUGCUUCUACUUUUUCUUCAUCUUCAGUUACUGCUACUUGGCCAAGAAUGUUAGGCAACUCCACAUGAUAGUCUUUAAAAUUCAAAGGCAGUGCCUAUCUCUUUGUGGUCUGAGAUGCAUAAUUGCAGACCUAUCAUUUUCAACUUCAAUUCUAGUUUCUUCAAUGAUUUUUGCCUCAGUAUUCUCCUCUUCAACUAGAGUACUGAUUGUGGAUUUCUUCUUCCAAUCCCAUGAGUCAUCUUCAUCAAUUACCACAUCUCUACUUAUGAAGAUUUUCUUAGAAAGUGGUUCAAGCAGCCUGUAGGCACCAAUUGGGUGAUAUCCAACCAGUAUCAUAGAUACACUCUUGUCUUGAAGCUUCUUUCUCUUCUCAUCAGGUACAUGUUUGAAGCAUAAAGACCCAAACACCCUUACAUGCUUCAUUGUUGGCUUCCUUUGUGUCCACACUUCUUUAACACUUUAUCCUUUAGCUUCUUAGUUGGACUCUUAUUCAGUAUAUAGACUGCAGUGGACACAACUUCUCCCAAAAAUUCUGAUGGCAUGUUUUUCUCCUUCAACAUACAUCUAGCCAUAUUCAUUACUUUCCUAUUCCUCCUUUCAGCCAACCCAUUAUGCUGAGAAGUAUAUGGAGCAGUAACUUCAUGAAUUAUGCCAUGCUGGAUACAGAAAAAUUCAAAAUCCUUUGAUGUAUACUCCCCUCCACCAUCUGUUCUAAUAACCUUGAUUGCUUUUCCACUUUGUUUUUCACUCAACACCUUAAACUCUUUGAAUAUAGAAAGCACUUCACUCUUGGCUUUUAUCAGGUACAUCCACAUCAUCCUACUAAACUCAUCAAUGAAGGUCACAAAAUAUUUGUUACCUCCCAUUGACAACACUUCCAGUGGGCCACAUACAUCAAAGUAUACAACUCCUAACACUUCAAUUGCUCUAGUAGGUGAUUCAGAUUUGAAGGAGUUCCUAGGUUGCUUACUUGUCAAGCAUAUUUCACAGAUUCUGUGAGGAAUUCUGAUUCUGAGUAGGCCAUCAACUAGCUUCUGUGACUGGAGUUGAUUCAGGCCCUUGAAAUUCAAAUGCCCAAGUCUAGAAUGCCAAAGUCAACUCUCAUCUUCAUUGGCAGUUGAUGCUAGACACUGCACAUAAGCAUUAUUCAUAUUCACUUGAAAGGUUCUGUUUUUGGACAAUGGAACUUUGAACACUCUUACAUUACCUGGGUCUAGUAAAUCCAAAAACUUGUUCUUCAAGGAUGCAUACAAACCUUUUUCAAGAAGUUGACCCAAACUCAUCAAAUUACACCUCAUAUCUGGCACAUACAUCACUUCUUCUAUUAUUGCUACACUUCUAUCACUCAUUCUGAAAGCAACAUUUCCAACUCCCAUGCUCUUCACAGUACUGUUAUCUGCAAAUUUUAUGGUGCACCUCCUGUUAUUAUCAAGAUUCACAAGCCAAUUCAGAUUGCAGGUCAUGUGAUUUGAACAUCCAAUGUCCAAAUACCAUGUUUCUGCAUCACCAUUGCUGCUGAAAUUGUAGAUGGUUGCCAUCAACACAACUGCUUCCACCUCUGAACCACUAUCACUUUCCUGUUUUGCUUGUUUUGCUUGUGCCAUGUGAGCCUCAUUUUUGCUGUAUUUCUUCUUCUUCUAUCUUGCAUCUGCACUUCCACAUUCAUUAGCAAAAUGACCCUAGCCUUGACAAUUGUAGCAUCUGAUCUUGCUUUUGUCAAACCUUCCUUUUCCAGUCCUAUUACCUGAACAUGCUUCCCUUUUUCUGCCAUAUGACACAGAUUGUUCCAGAGCAGAGUCAUUUUGAUCAAACUUGCCCUAAGCUGAAGGAUUCUUUCCUUCAUACUUGUUGCCAUAUCUCUUAGCAUUCCCUUUCCACUUCUUGUUCUUCCAACCUUGCUUCUGUUUCGAAGCAUACAAGGCCUGAUCUUGCAAUCUUGCCGGGCUCCUCUCAUUCAUCUUCGGCUCAUGUGCUUCUAGAGAGGCUUGCAGCUGCUCGAUUUUCAUCUCAGACAGGUCCCUUGCCUCUUCGAUAACAGUAACUCCCAUCAAAUCGAGGGGUUAGAGUUCUCAUCGCCUUUUCUACCAAAUCUUGAUCCUUGAAUCUAUCACCACAUUCUUGCAUUUGAUUCACAAUUCUGAGCAAUCUUGUGAAGUAAUCACAGAUCCUCUCAUUGUCUUCCAUCUGGAGCAGCUCAUAUUGUCUCUUCAAAGUGUUUAGCUUCACUUUCUUCAACCUGUCAUCACCAGAACAAGCUUUUGCUAGGAUAUCCUAUGCCUCCUUCGAAGUUGUGGCAAUUGCAAUUUUUUCAAAAUGUGCAGAGUCCACACAUUGAUGCAAGAAAAAGAGUGUCUUACAGUCUUUCUUCUUCAAAUCCUUCAAAACUUGUCUUUGAGCAUCUGGUGUGCUGGCUGUAGGCUCUUCAAUCCCAUUUUGAACCACCUCAUAGAUAUCCUGAAAACCAAAGAGGGAUCUCAUCUGCACACUCCAUUUGGACCAAUUUUUCCCAUCAAGAACUGGUAAAUUUCCAGGUACAUGGCCAUUCAUGAUGCUAUCUUGAUCGAUCCACACUCAAGCUUUUCCAGCAAUCACCAAAAUUCUUUUGCAAGAUCCAAAAUCUGCCAAAUCUUGAUUCUCAAUGCCUCACGGAUUACUUCACUCAUAAUCUCACAACUCUCAGCUGUUUCACCCUCGAAGGAUCCACAGUGUUUGAAUCUCUCACCACUUUUUCUCAGUUCACACCUCUCUUAUCCCACCUAGUCCAAAGACUUAGUGCUCUUGAUACCAAAUCUAUUGGGGAGAAAGAGAGAAAAUCAGGAAAAGGCAUAUACUGAAAAUGAGAUGAAUUGCAUUAUAAAAUUGAAUUACAUAGAGACUAUUUAUACAGCUCAAGUUCAGCCUCAAUCACUACCUUAUCACACUCAACUAACUAAACAAACUACCAAACUUACAUCUAAUAUUCUGAAUUACAACUAACAAUAAGAUCAUACCACAACUUAUAACAUUAUAAAAAUCAAUUAAUAAUUAACUAUUAAACAAAACGCACACAUAUAUCUAUAUAUACAUCAAGAUAUAUUUUAAUUGGUAUAUACAUAAUUAGACACAAAACUAAACACAUUGUUUGAUUCAUGAAUUUCAAAAUAAGUUCCACACAUAUAUGCAUAUACAUUUGUAAAGCCUUUUGUUAAUUUCAACCAAGCAUUGCAUGCACCUUUUCUUAUCCCUUUAUACCUAUAUAAAACUAGUAAAUUAACACUAAUUCUUAUCUCAGAUGUUAAUUCUAUGAGUGAGAAGUAGCGACAUAGUUACGACGUGGAAAGCAAAUAUUAGACCCAUAUAUUAUAUAUUAACAAGAUAAUUUUACCAUUUAACCAUUAUAUUUAGGCAUUACUAAUACCAAGUACUUUAUAACACAAAAUAAAUGUAUCUUUCAAUAAUCAUACCAUGGAAGUUUAUAAAAAAAUAUUUUACUCACCUCUUGAAGCAAGUAAUUUGUACUAUUUAUUAUCUUUCUUCUCCUUUAUCAAUUGCAUCAACAAAAAUUAUUUAUUUUCUCUAUUCUUCUCCGUUUUGAGCAAUCCGAUAAUGUCAAGAGAGAUCAUGUGUGAUUUUAAGAAAAAGAAAUUAUCUAUCAUUAUAUAAGUAUCGUACAUAAUUUGAACUUAGAUUAUUUGAGAUUUAUUUAACCAAUUUUUUUUAUCUUUAUUAUCUUUACUUAUUAUUAAUAAUAUUAUAAACAUGAGGUACAUUUUUUUUGUGCUUUAUCCAAAGCUUUUGUGAAUAUUAAACAAAUUUUCUCUUAUUUAUAUGAUUAUUAUCUUUAAAUCAAAUAAUUAUAGUAACUUCUCAUUAAAAGUAAUAAUCUAUCAUUUUGUUACUAAAAGCUUAUAUAAUCAUAUAUUUAAAUAAUAUUUAUCUAAAUAAUUAUUGGAUAGUUUUAGGAUGUUACGAAAAGGACUUAUAACAUAAUCUAUCCUCACUUUUUUUUAAAAAAAAAACAUUAGAUCGAUUUUUUCAUUUAUUUUAUUCCUCUCCAAUCCACCAUCUACCCAUCAAUCCAAACAUAACCUUAAAAAAAUACCAACAUUUGUAACUAUGAAUUUUCAUACAUACAUAUAUUUUUCAAAAGAGUUAAAUGAACUUUUAUCUUGAUAUAUGAGGAUACAAAUACACACUUACUUUGAAAAGUCAAGCAAAUACUUAAUAUAUUGAUUUGUUAGGCAUGAACAGAAAAUAUAUGAUUUUUAAAUUUUUGUUUCUGUAAGUUUUUUUAUUUAUAUUUAGUCCUUUUAAUUUUUUUAUUUUUAGUUCUGAUAAAUUUUCACCGGUAGGGAUUAAAAUUAAAAAAACAUAAAUUUACAUAAAUAAAAAAUAUUUAAACUCAAACAAAUAUAACAUACAUAAAUUGACUUCUCUAAAGUGGAUUAGAGUAAAAUAAAUAAUAGAAAUUAUUAAUCAUAUAGUAAAUUUGUUCAGUGUUGAGGAUAAAUUAGACCUUUUCCUAUCUUGAUUAUUUUUUUUUUCUGUUCAAAUCAAUGUAAAAAAUAAAUAAAUAGUUAUAACUUUGUUUCAUGAUAUACCACUAGGUGUGAUAAAGAACCGGUAAAAGUAAACGGGUUUACCCGAUUUGGUCACGCGACCCGGGUUAAAUAAAACACACUGGAAGUGGAUGGACAUGAGAUUGGCAGAAUAAGGUCGGAGGAUUGAUUGAGAAUCGUUCGAGACUGCAAAAUCCAAAACCAAACACAACGCACAACAUUCGUCAUUCACCGCCUUGUCUUGUCUUCUUCUGUCUCCGAAUCACGGUCAGAAAAAAAUAAAAAUAAAAAAUCAAAUCCAUUCCCUUUUUCAAUCUAUUUCGCAUGCGUUCCAGAUUUCAAUCGCCGAUUUCACCAUCAUUAUUAUUAUAAUUACAAUUAUUAUUAUUUUCUCGCUCGAUUUGUUUCAAUUACGACAUAGUCGCGAUAAUUGCCUCUUUUUUUUUUUUUGUGUUAUCAGGAAUCUCUCUGAAUCGCGGGAUUAAGAGAGGAAUAUGCAACAGAGGCUAAAGUUGCAGCAACAACAGGCCCUCAUGCAGCAAGCUUUGCUUCAACAGCAGCAGAUGUACCACCCUGGCAUGCUCGCCGCUGCUAUGUCUCAGGUUAAUCAACCUCAAAUUCAUCUUUUUGUUUUUCAUUUUUUUUUUUCAAUAAACGCUUUCGACGCUGCAUUUCCCUAUCGAAUUUGUGCAUCGGUGACGAAUUGCAUUUGCGUUGCGUUGUUCCAUUUCGUUAUAAGAAGAAAAUAGGGCUUGCGAAUGAAAUGAAAAAAAAAAAACAUACAAUUCACGUAAUUAGGGUAUCCGUGUCGUUUUUAUUUGUUUCCGAUUUCUCAGCAAAACUUAUUUGAGGCCAUUUCCACAAUUCACAGCCUUGUAUAAUACAAUUGAUUUCCCUAGUGUUACUGUUUCCUUACUCUCUUUUACAGUAAUAAUUACUCAUUAUCGUUUUGUUUGCAUCAACUUUGUUGGUGCAUAUCCAUAUAGUUUUCUUUUUUCAUCAAGGAAAUUGAUGCUGCUGCGGUUUAUUGUUGUCAUUUAAGGUCUCGUGAAUUGUCAAUUUGAUGUAAUUGUUGCUUCUAUUACUGACUAGUGUAUUAUUUGUGUUUGUGAUUUGCAAUUAUUUUUGGUCCCAAACUUUUAGGUCAUUGAUAUGCCAAUAGAAGGAACCUAAUGAUUGCCAAAAUGUCUUUACCCGGUCAAAGUCUACUAAGAUAUGUCAAGAAUUUUUAACCUGUGGACCCAUAAAGCAUAGAUAGUUGUCUCAUUCAAUGGAUGAACUGUUAGAAAAUUGUUUUUGACGACUAUGAAAUAUGCCCUAUUUUUUUUUAUGCAAUUGGUUGAUUAUGAGAAAUAGCUCAGUCUUAUACUGUUUCUAAAUAUUAUAAAUUCUUUUCUCUCUUUGAUUCUAUUUAAGGUUUCUUUCUAUAGUUGCUUGGACCUUCUUUCCUUUUCUCCAUUUUUUUUAUUCUUUGUUGUUUUGAAAAUUUUGCAGAUGGAGCCUGUUCCAAGUGGAAAUGUGCCUCCUGGUUUUGAUACGUCUGCAUGCCGUAGUGUGUGAGUGUUGGAUUUCUUUCGGAUUUUAGAUGCUGUUGUUUGUCCCUAGUUUCAUGUUUGUGCCCAAGUAUGAAAGCUUUCCAUUUUAACCUAAUUUCUGACAACUUUUGAUGCAAAUUUCUUUUGCACAAUGGUGUUUUUAACUAAUCUGAAUUUCUGAGAGAUAAGUUUGAUGCUACUGAAGUUCAAUGUGGUAUUAAAUAAUCACUGUAAUAUAAGUAGUACAGUUUUCCUCUUUGAUACCUUAUUGAUCUGAAGCUUGUUCUUUCAGUUAUGUAGGAAAUAUUCAUGUAAAUGUCACCGAUAAACUUCUUGCAGAAGUUUUUCAGAGUGCUGGUCCUCUUGCUGGCUGCAAGCUCAUAAGAAAAGAAAAGGUUUGGUUCAGUAGUCAACUCUAUGUUCUUUGUUGAUGAUCAUUAUUGUUGUUACUAUUAUUACUACGCUGCUCAUAAAUGACCUAUUUUAACAGGCCUUGUCUUAAAACUAAAACAAUUCUGUUAUUUUUCCUUAGUGAUGAGUAAGUUUUUGUUUUUAUUUUUUAAAAAAUCUGGUUCGCAUAAGAAUUUAGAUUUUAGAGUUACUUUACUCUGAAUUUCUCAGGGAACUCUCCUAGGAAUCUUUAAUCAAUCUACAAAGGUGAUAGGUUUUCAAGGAGUUCUGAAUCGAUAUGCAUCAUAUUCUGAGAAAGUGCAUAUCAGUACAAAAUUUGUUUGAAUGAUAUGCCCUUUACUAACAGAGAAUUAGAGUUUUCAUCGUCUCCCUUCUUUAGAAUCCUCUUGCUGUGUGGAAUGGGGUGGUAAUACAAUCUUGGUGACGCCUUAAAUUUUGUGAUUUUGUCCUCUUGCCUAUCAUAAUUUUUUACCAACCUUGGAAGAGUAAAUGGCUUCUCUAACUUGUAAUUGUUUAUGGUGAAAGAUGAGAGCUUUUGUGUGAGAGAGUAAAUGCAUCAGCUAACAUAGAUUGCUAUACAUCCUGCCUGCGUGCCUUUUGUCAAUAGAUGCUAGUCAGUUCUUUUGUGGGGUGCACAGUGAAAUUUCCCUGAUAGUGGCUUUUUGUAGUUUUUGGUCCAACUUAUUUUGGGCUACUCUUCUCUUUGUAAGGAGAAGCUAGGCCAAACAGUUUUUUUUUUAAAAGGAGCUUUUCAAAAGUAUCUUAUUUAAUAAGAGAAAACACAAAAAAAAAACCUUUUUAAAAACACUAGUUUUAGGAGCUUUUGGCUUCUAUUUCUACUUUUCCUUCUUUAUUUCAAAUCCCAAGAUCCAAUAACAUACUACCGAGGAAAUUUGAACUUAAGAGUAAUUUAAGCUUAAAAAAUUAUAGAAUUACCAAACAAUUUAACUUCAACUUCAAAUUUAAAGCUCGUAUUUUUAACUUUAAUUCUAAAGUAACUUUUAAGCUAAAAAAAAUUGGCCAAAUGCUACGUUAGUUUAGCAUCUGCAUACUAUAUUCUUUUCCCAGUCCUUAUUAUGCCUACUAUCUGUGCUCUCUACUAUAAACUUGAUUUCUGCUUAUUUUUUUGCCCUUUUCUUACUGUGAAAUUACUGUUACAGUCCUCUUAUGGUUUUGUGGACUACCACGAUCGAGCAUCUGCAGCCCUUGCAAUAAUGACAUUGCAUGGACGACAACUGUAAGCAUUUUGUUUAAUACAACAUUCAAGUUCUUCAGUAAAUCUGCAUGUAGGAUGUGAACUGGAAAGGCAUUCUCCAUCUGGCUUUUCUGGAGAUAGAAGAAUAAUUAUCAUUUUUAACUUCUAUAUUCUUUUUUACUGAUAGACUUAUAACUUAUCAUUUACUUGGCAUUGUACUUAUUAUUGUAAUAUUGUAAUGGCUCUACAGAUGUUUUAAUUAGGCAAAUUGUGAGUCAUGACAAGCUUCUGAGAGUUUAACUUAACAUGUAGCUACUUUGCAUUGAUUUUUUCUUCUUCUUUUUAUUUCUGUUUGCAGGUAUGGUCAAGCACUUAAGGUGAAUUGGGCAUAUGCCAAUAGCAGUAGGGAGGACACGUCAGGUUAAUUUUAAGCAGUCCAUUUAUUGUUGGUUUCAAUUAUUUUGCUUCUUGGGGGCAUUCUUUUUCUCUUUUUUUUUAUUUUUAUUUUCAAUUGUAUUAUUUUUUAAUUUUAGUUUAAAAUCAUCAGGGCACUUCAAUAUAUUUGUCGGUGAUUUGAGUCCAGAGGUUACUGAUGCAACUUUAUUUGCUUGCUUCUCAGUCUAUCCUAGUUGUUCGUGAGUUCCUCAUUGCUUUUUGUUUUUUUCUUCGUUGCGAUAUUUUUGGUCACUAGCACAAGAUAUAUCUUUUUUUAUGGUGACUGUUGUAGUCCUUGUUAGCGGUGACAAGUUGAAGAUAGUUGAUGUGGGGGGAACUUUUCAACAAGUUACUCAGCCUUGAAAGAUGUUUUGAUUUCAGGAAUUUACUUUUCAUCUUCUCUCUUAUUAUUUGCAGUGAUGCAAGGGUUAUGUGGGAUCACAAAACUGGUCGGUCAAAAGGAUAUGGUUUUGUUUCUUUCCGUGAUCAUCAGGUAUUGCUUAUUCUGUGCAAUGGAACAUACUGAAGAGAUGGACCAAUGAACCAUCCUGAAAGGGGGGGGGGGGGGGGGAUCAAAAGCUUUCUUAGUAAGCCACAAAAAAAGAAAGCAAUUUCCCCCCAAAAUAAGCUAAACUAAAUAUUCAUUUAGUGUUAUAAAGAACCAUAGAAUUGUUUCUUUUCCAAAUUAAACAAGAUCAGAAUACUCAAUGAUUCCCACAAUAAAAAUCUUCAUUUCAAAUGCUAUACAAAUUGUUGUUACUGCUUUUUUGUUAGAUGCUAGGUUGGUCAUUGGUGUAGCUAUGUUAAUUAUGUUCUGAAUUAAUGAAAUGAUAUGCCUUAAUGCAAUUGAUAUGCAGGAUGCCCAAAGUGCAAUAAAUGAUAUGACAGGUAAGCCAUGUUAUGUAAUUUUGUGCCAUUUGUACCCUGCUUCUGUGUCAUGUUUUUUGUUCAUACCAACUUGUGGCAUUUCCUGCAUCAUAUAGGUAAGUGGCUGGGAAAUAGGCAAAUACGAUGCAACUGGGCAACUAAGGGUGCUGGUGGCAGUUCCAAUGAAGAGAAGAUUAAUGACAGUCAAAAUGCUGUUGUGCUUACAAAUGGAUCUUCAGGUACCAUGUACCUUUCUAGAUAGCUAAGAGCCUGAGCCUACAUUUGUUAAACCAUGAAAAUAUAGAUGAAGGUUCUAGUUUAAAUUUGUUUUCUUCUCCAGAUCUGGGAUAUUUUAUUGGCUGAUAUUUGGCAUUCAUUAUGUUGAAUGAUAUCAUACUGAUUCAAAAUGUAUAAUGGAGUAACCAACCACACCUAUUAAUUAGGAUAGCAUGCGUAUUUUGGUGGUUCACAUUUGCUAGACACUAGUCUUACCUUCUAGAAAAUGACACUAGAUUUCUAAUUGCUUGAUUUGUUAGAUCUGAUGCAUACAUUGGUAACAUACUGGGGUUGUUGUAUUAUGUACUUCUAUGCAUCUAUCAUAACAUGUUUAGAGGGGAUGGGUACAACAGAAGAGCUAAGGUAGACACAAAUAGCAUAGCUUUUUUAGUUUGAAUGGGAUAAAUGUUGUGUUUACAUACUCUAAUAUUAGUUAACAAUGUGUGUUAUUCUCUACUUCUUUGGGAUAGUUUUUCUGUAUUUAUGUUUAUAGAGUAAUUAAAUGAUUACAGUGACUGUAAUUUCGGAUUUGGGAUCUCAUUAAGCUGUAUGACUUCCUUUGCUCCUCUGUUUCCUAUGCACUUCUGUAAACAGGCUGAGAAUUUUAGGAUUGCUGACAUUGACAGAUAAUUUUUUUUGUGUUUUACAGAUGGAGGUCAAGAUAAUAACAAUGAGGAUGCCCUGAUAACAAUCCUUCAUACACCACAGUUUAUGUUGGCAACCUUCCUCAUGAUGUAAGUUGUGUGAAUUGAAGAAUGAAAUAUUGUGGUUUUUAUUUUUACAUAGUAAGAACAAAACUAUAAUUUCAUUUCUUUAUUCACAAAUAUGGAAAACAAAUAUUUAAGUAUUAGGGGAUUGAUUUGGUUUAUUAGAAUUGGCUUUAAACAUAAUUUUGGAUGGAUUAUUGAGAUGUGCAUAUUUUUCAACAUCUAAAUCACCCUUGUAUUUCUGGUUAUGUUACAUUACUUUCAACUUAACAAUAAUGAAACUAAAGUGCCAGAAAAAUUGCAUAACAUGUGUAAGAUGGCUUUCUGUUUCAAUCUUUCCAACUGCAUGAAUACCUAGUUACAUGUGGUUUGGGACAGUCAUGCCUUGGCCUGUCAAGCAUUAUAAUUGAAUUGAACUUAAAUUAGUGUAUUCAAAAUUUUUGCAAAUUUUGUUCUUGUGUUGACCCAUGUGUCACGUGAUAUAAUAUUUCUUUUAACUGUUCAAAAGUGUUUUUGAAUCUGCCUGCCAAUAGUGACUCAGAUUUCUUAGGAGGCACCUGAGUGUCAGUUUCUCGCUUACCCUACCCUUCUUCCCUUUCCCUUCAUUUGAUAUUGGGAUUCUGUAGCCAAAAGAAUGUGUCUUCUCUUCUGAUGCGCAGUUAUCAACUUAUCAUUGUUUAUUUACAAUUUCUUCAAUCUCUUUUACACUUAAGUCUUGUUUUCUACCUGACCUUGAUGAAGAAAAAAAACACAUCCCACUGAUUUGUGGGGAACUGCAGAUGUAGUGGACUGCAUUUUGCAGUGUGUUUGAUGUGUGUGGCUUCCUUAGCAUUUUAAGGCUCCUUCCUAUUAUCUACUUAUUGAUGAACGUGUGUCAAAUCUGUGACCAUAUGGCAUUAUAUUGGUCUGAUCUGAAUCUCAGUCUUGCAAUUUCUCACAAAUUAUGAACUGUUUACUUCACAAGCUUCUUGAUAAAGUAACUUGUCUUCUCUCUAUUUGUGGUUUGAGGUCACAGGUAACACAAGCUGAACUUCAUUGUCAGUUCCAUGCACUGGGGGCUGGGGUGAUUGAGGAGGUUCGAGUUCAGAGGGAUAAAGGUUUUGGAUUUGUCAGAUACAACACUCAUGACGAAGCUGCACUGGCCAUUCAGAUGGCUAAUGGAAGACUUGUUCGUGGGAAGAAUAUGAAGGUGAGAAUUCUUUCACUUGUUGCUUAUCUGGUCAACUAAUUAAUUGCUAUUCUUUGUUGAGGCUGAUGGUUGCCCCAUAUAAUAAUGCCUAUUGCCUAGUAGGGAUGGUGAUCUCUCUUUUUUUUCUUCUUGCCAAUGGCUGAUCACGUUACUCGCAUGUAGAGACUCAUGUUUGCAUGUAUACUUACACUUACCUUGUCCCCACCUGGGGGUGCUGAUUAAGAUGGCAAGGCCAUAUUUUUACAGCCUUCCUCCAUGCCUGUUAUGGAUUGAUGGACCCAUUUUUAUAUUGUCGCUUUAGAAAUUUGAAGUUCAAAUGUAAUUCCAUGGAUGUGAUGCACCUCUAGCUGGAAGCAUCAUAACACAAUUAAAUGCAUGUUCUUUCUACUACUGCUUAUUUUUUAAGGCUAGAGGUAUUUACUCAUGAGAUGCCAAUGAAUAAAAGUUAUUUGACUUGAUUUGUGCAGUGUUCAUGGGGUAGUAAACCAACUCCACCUGGAACGGCUUCAAACCCACUACCUCCUCCUGCUCAACCAUAUCAAAUACUUCCCACUGCAGGGAUGAACCAAGGGUAUUCUCCUGCGGAGUUGUUGGCUUAUCAGCGCCAACUGGCCUUGAGUCAGGCUGCUGUAUCUGGUCUUUCAGGUCAAACUCUUCUGCAAAUGACUGGACAACAUGGCCUAGCUCCAGCUUCGAUGGGCGUAAACUCUGGGGCAUCUCAAGCCAUGUAUGAUGGAUAUACCGGUAAUUCAUCGAGACAGCAGCUUAUGUACUAUCGUUGACACACUGGCCAGCGCAGAUUCACAGUUGCAUUGUUAUCUUCUGGGGGCUUUGAUGUGCAUCACAUUUCUCUUUGCUUCCCCACAGCAUGUCCUUUUCAUACUGGGCUUUUUUUAUUGAGGUAUUAUCGUGGCUUGAUAUUUAUUUAAUUUUUACGUCGUGUUGUAUUUUGUAUUGUUUGAUCUAAUGAGGAUUUGAUGGCUCGAAAAAGAGGAAUCUAUGUUUUGCUAGAAAGAGCAGCGAAUUUUAUGUUUGGGUAGUUUUCAUCAAUGUUAUUGUGUAUUAUAUUUAUAUAUAAGUAUGACUCAAGUUCGUGUUAAUAAUCUUAUGCCUUUUUGUUUUCUGUUCGUGCCGUGAAAGGCAGAAUAUCUGGUUCAUGGAUCAAAUACCGAUGCGCUAGUGCGUUACUACCUUUUGAUAUCAGUAACAAAGAUUGUCUUUUGGAAAAAUAAACGUCGUGUUAAUUCUGGCUCGUCUUUAACUUUUUGUUUUCGAUUGCACUUGAAUCAAUGUCAUUGGCGCCCUUCAACCGUUUGGCUUUAAGCUUAAACUUGUAUGUCACUUGAUUUAUUCUUCUUGCAUGACCUAUUUCACUUUGGCUUUAUAUAAUGUGUCAAAAUUGUUCGAGAUAAUUAUUGUUUAGAAUUGAAUAAUUUAUAAUAAAUCUGUAACAAAGAUUUUAGGUGGAUGUAUGCUAUCUCCGUUUUUAUUUAUAAGAUUAAAUUUUUUAAAUUUGUUUGUUCUUUUAUAUAAAGAUAUACUUCAUAAAUAAUUAUGGACAAUGGUAUAUUUGGAAAAGCGUAUAAAUUUAUUAUCAUCAAUUAAAUUAAUUAUUUUUUUAAUCUUAGUAAAUUAAGUAAUUGAAUCUUAUAUAUAAGAAUGUUUUGCUAAUUAUGUUUUCUGGGUGAAUUGCCAGUUUUUUUUUUUUUAAAUAGAAAUUUUAUUACAUUACGGCAUCCUGCUUUCUUACCGUUUGAGACAUUAUUACGUAAUUUCAGACUACCACCAGUCUUGAUUAAUUUCCAUGUGAUAAAAAUUUUAGCUUCUCCUUGUAAAUUGAAAAUUUUGAUUGUAUUACAAAGAGACUGAUUAAGAUCAUUGCUACAUAAGCCUGUUUGUUUAUGUUUUUUUUUUUAUUAAAAAAAUCUCUUUUCCUAAUAAAAUACAGUUUUUUGAUGUAUUUGUCUAAACAAUUUUUUUUCUUAAAAAAAAUCAGUUUUCUUUAAUGCUUUUUUUUAAGAAGCAAUUUCUUUCUUUUAAAAAAAUUAAAUUUGUUUGCUUGCAUUGUUUUAUACAAGUGUCCUGGCAGAAGUGGAAUUGGUUUUAUACAUUAAUACCUUUGCGGAGGAAAAUGUACUUUAUUUAAACAUCAAAAAAGAUAUAAAAAAUGUCCGUUUAAUUUUUUAAGGUGUUUUUUAAAUUCGUGUAUAUAGAAAAGAUAUAAAUAAUUGAAUAUAAUGUAAAAGGUGCUGUUAAUUUUUUAAUGUUUGAAUCGUGAAAUUGCCUUAACAUUUAAAUAAUGAAGAAGUCUUAGAGGAAGAUGUACGAGAUUGAACUAACUAUACACUCUGUCUGCCGCCUGGAAUGGAAUCUAGGACACGCCCAAGGUUUCUACUGCAUAAGUUAAAAAUGAUUGAAUAAAAAAACCAAACUCGGAUUGUUUUAUAAUUGGCUGAAAAGUGCAAUAUGUUGUUUUUACUUGAUGUGCGGAAACAUGGAAGUGAGUUGAACAUAGAUUCGAUCUGCUUGACUUUUUUUUCCCCUUCUGCCGCUUAUAUUUACGCUAUAUAUGCACAUCACCGGCGAACAAUUUGUAAAUAAUACUAAUAAACAACAUAUAUUAACUGAUCAUUUGUUGUUGGUAUGUUAGCAAAAUUUCUUGCACGGAAUCACAAUAAAAAAAUAGUUAUAUUGAAUUGACGACUUUGUGCCAAAUAAAAAAAAAAUACCUAGGACAUUAUAAAGAACAACAAAAUAAGACAUAUUUAAAUCUCAGGAUAACUUUUUAUCCUAAGUUGUUUGAUCAACAUUGAACAACACAAGUAAAAUAAUUUUACUAUAACAUUUUAGUUACAUCUAUGCAUGAAUUAUUUUUUUGUUAAAGACUGGACAAAUUGACUUCUCUGUUGUCCUUUUUUGAGUUAUCCCGAUAUUGUCCACUUAAUUUGUAUUAAUAUUUAAUUUUAUACUUCAAUUUAAAAUUGUGUGAUUUUCAAGGAACAACAGGGGGAUAACAGAGAAAUCAGGUCCAAGAUUAGGAUAACCUAUUAGUCUAAUAGGCAUCGACCCUAGUUUUUUGCAUAGUGAAACUCUAGCUCAAAAAAGGCUACGCUUUUGAUGCAAGCAUGGUAUAACAUCAAUCCACCUAAGUAAUUUACACUUAAUCCAUUGAACAUACUUUCUUUUUUGGUUCAAUUGGAUGCUGUCUUGACUAGUAAAAAACCGACUGAAUUGUUUGCUCUAAUUUCCCCCGACCGAGUAAAUGAUGGACACCUCCAUCCUGAAAAAAAGUCAUGCACAAUAUACAUAUAGCAAGCUUAUCACAAGAAGUAACUUUGUAACAGUAACAAAAACAAGAUAGAAACUUACCAAAUGCACAGAAAGUUGUUUCUCAAGGUGGGCAUCCAUAGAGUUACCCAUAACUGAAAUUAGAUUAUUAUCUUCAGCAAGGUCUCUUAGCCUGUUGAGUUCUGGUAGGAUAACCUUGCCAAGAUCAGGUCUGUCUCUGCGCCUUAAUUCGGCACACUGCAGUCCCAUCUUAGCAAGCUUCAAGGCAUCCUCCACUGGCCAAUCAAGCACUGAUGGAUCCAACAUCUCAGUAAAAAUUCCAUUCUCUAUGGCCCUUUCAACAUGAUGGGUCAAACCCAUUGGUGAUUUUGCUGUCAAAAUUUGCAAAAAAAUGAUCCCAAGGGAGUAUAUGUCUGACUUCACCCCUAACAUACCUGUCUGCUGAUACUCAGGAUCUAUGUAGCAGAAGGUUCCUGCUGUGGAUGUCAUGUGAUAUUGCGUGACACUGUCCGCCACAGACGGUGGAACUAGCCUGGCCAAACCUACGUCACUGAUUUUGGCCACAUAGUUUCUGUCUAGCAAGAUGUUGGCUGGUUUCAAGUCUCUGUGCACCAGAGGUUCUGGUUUUGUCUGGUGCAGGAACAGCAAGCCUGUGCCUAUUUCAGCUGCUAUUUUGAACCUUAGCUGCCAAGGAAGUGGGGGAGUGCUGCCUUUUCGAAAGAGGCAAUCAUCCAAGCUUCCAUUUGCCAUGUACUCAUACACUAGACACCCGUAUUCUGGACACGCACCUAGGAGGAGAACCAUGUUUGGAUGCCGUAUGCAGCUCAACACCUCAACCUGUAAUGUGCAUUACAUUCAACCAAUUCAACCAAACAUGGCAUACAAAUGUUUUAGCCCUUUCUGGCUAGUAUGACUUGAUCAUCACUUGAAUGUUUGGUCUAAGAAUUCAUUUUGUGUUUUCAUUUUUUUGAUUGAUAAUGAUAAGAUUUAAAUAUAUUUUUAGUCCUAUUUUUUUUUAUUUUCUAAUAAUCUCUCAAAUUUUCAAAAAUUUACUUUUAUUUCAUUUAUUUCUUUGUGCUAAUAAUGUCACAAUUUAUAAAAAAAAUUACAUCAGAAAUUUUUUUAAUUUAAUUUCUUUAAAAAUAAGUUGUAACAAUUUAAAUUUGUUAGAAUAUAUAAAAAAUCAUCAUAACUUAAUAUUCAUGUUUUUAUUUUUCUUCUUUAAAACUGCUAUAAUAUGUAAAAAGAAUGACCACUAAUCUAUGAGUCAAAUAUUUUGACCAUUUAAAAUCGCAAAAUUUUUUUUUUAAAAAAAUUAAAUUAAAAAUAUUUAUUUUGAUGGUUAAAAAUAAUUACAAAUUGUGAAACCAUAAACAUAAUGAACAAAGAGGGAUUAUAAGUAAUUUUUCAAAAAUUUGAGGGAUUAAUAAAAUAAUUUUGUUUUUAAAGGAAAAAAAUAAUUAUCUAAAUUUGAAAGACUAAAAAUAUAUUUAAUUUUAAUUAUAAAAUAUAAAAUUUAAUUAGAAUAUAUUAAAAGUGAAAAAGUUACAAUGUUAUCUAAUUACACAUGGUUAUGGAUGACAAGUUUUAUUUACUUUUAUAAGAAUUGUCUUAAAAGUCAAGUAGAGUCAGGUAGAGGAUGAUUUUUGAUUGAUUGUUAGUGUAUUUUAUUUUACACCAUAGUGCAUUUCAAUUAAACUCAUUAAAUAUAUUUUUGAUACAAAUCUUUAAAAACGAAAAACAAAGUGAUGCGUCACAAAACCUCUUAUGAAACCAAAAUUUCCAAUCAUUGAGUUGAAUCUGUGUUGUUUAAAUGUAGUGUUUUGUUUCUCUGCUUACCUCUCGUUGAAACUGUGAUCUUCCUUGUUGUGCAUCAGGGCGUAGAACCUUGACUGCAACAGGUGUGUGAUCCAAAAGGCACUUAAAAACUGGACCAUAUCCCCCUUCUCCAAUUUUCAGGGAUUCUGCAAAAAAAUCUGUUGCAGCUUCAAUCUCCUCGAUUGUGUACCUUCUAUACCUCACAUCUACAUUUACCAAAGCAUCAAGCAAUUUUUUUUUCUCUUCUGAUUCUCUAAGUGCUUUCAUUUCUGCAUUGAGUCUCUUCUGUGCUUCCAGUUCUGCAAUCCUCUUUUGUGCUUCAGCAGCCUCAAUGGCUGCUUUAGACUUUGCUCUCUCCUUUUCGGCAAUCGCCAAUGCUGUUUCCUCAGCAAGCCUUGCCUCUUCCAAUCUCCUCUCUUCUUCUAGUUUCCACUUCUGAAGUUCCACUGCCUGUCAUGCAUGCAUACCAUGUCUCACAUAUUAUUGAACUUUUCUAGAGAUAAACAUAAGAAUUCAAUUAAAAUGUACUCACAAUGUAAAGAUUUUUUAUAUGGUUAUCCAUUUAUAAAUUGCCAUGUAUGUAAGAGUGUUGACUUCAACAAUAAUUAUUUUAAAAGUCAUAUAUGAAGUGAUUUGUAAUUGUUAACAUUGUAAAAAUCUUUAUACUACCCGUGCAUGAAAAUUAAACUCUAAUCACAAACCAGAUAUAUAUUAGUUCAUACCUUCUGUUGUGCUGUGACUGCUUCUUUACAGGCUGUGUUAUACAGUUCCAUGGUUUGCUUCAGUUCCAACUUCAAUCUCCUCAUUUCAGCCUCCAUGUCAUCCUAAGAUUGCAUCAACUUCAAGAAUUUAAAAAAUAAAAUUCUAGAAAAUCUUCAUUUUUUUUUUGACAAAAUGUGACUAAAUUAUGGAAUUCGAACUACUAACACAUGCACAGGCAGUGCAAAAAGUACAAAUGAAGGAUAUGCUUGGUAUGAGUAUAAACAUUAGCUGUUUUUAUAAAUAGUAACAAAUUACAAAUAUGUAACCUUAUUUUUACUUUGUUUCCAUUUUCAAAUAUUUGUACAAUAAAAACAAAAAUCUUGUCUUCACUAUAAAACAAAGUGAAAACAAGAUGAGAUUUUUUAUUUACUUGUGAAAACAAAAUAUAUUUUCUCCAACCAAACAGAUCCAUAGGUACUGUCAACUUUCCUUACCACGGCUUGUGAUGUAGAAGAUGAAUGCUGGUCACUCUCAAAUGAGAGGGAUGGGAAUUCAGGAGGAGUGCCAGUUUCCGUAGACUUCCUUCCAUCAUGCAUUGACUCUAAGCUGAAGCUUCCAUCUAUGUCUGAGCCCAAUGAUAGUCGAUGGUUGGAAAAUCCUGAAUCUGAGUUCAACGAAGGGAACAAGUUUUCUAUGCUUUUUCUUCCGGUACUUACAAAGGAUAUGUCCUUAUCUGGCUUGGGAGUGUCCCCAUAUUGUCUUCCAUUGUAACCUUUCCAAGUGAAUGGUGACCUGUUUCCAGUAGCAUUUAGUUUUCAAAUGUUAAAACAAAUUUAGCCAUGCAAAGAACUAGUUGGUGCUCAUAAGACAUUUGCUAAGUAGUAUGUAAUGUCACUGACCUGAAUGGUUCUGAUUCAUCCAGUGAUCUACGCGGUGCUGCAGCAUCAAAGGAAUGUCUUUCUUGUUCUAAUAAAAAUCACAUUUCUUAGUAAGCAGCAUAUUGAUAAUAUGAAUAUACAUAUAGAUGUGUGGUUCUUUAAGGGACGAACCUAACCUUUUAUGCUUUGAGUCAAUGGCACAUUUGGGUCUGAAUGGUCUGUCCUGACACUUGCUUGACUGAGCAGGUUAGGGACAAUGGCCGGCGCAGGUCGAGAAGCAGAUCGCACUGUUUGAAUCUUUCCUUUAGCAAUAACAUAGACUGUACAGAAAUCUGGUGCCCCUUUUGAAACUGCUCCUGGAAUAUCUGAUACCUUGAAUCUUCUGAUGAGAAAAACAUAUUCUGUAAGAAAUGGAAUACAUACUGACACAUCCAAGCCAGAGAUUCAGGCUUCUAUUUAUGUUUAAUAACACACAUAUUCAUAAUGGCAAGUGACCAUAAGUUAUGACAGGAUAACUCUUGAGCGGUUGUACAUAUCAUGUGGAACAUGACAAACUAAUUAGCACUUUAAGGCUUUAUGUUUAUAAUGACCAUAAUCCUAAUUAUGCAUGCCUUAAAUUAAGGUAUGCGUCCUUAAACCCAUAUAUUAACUAUUGCUUGUGUUAUCAGAAUGGAAGGUAGUGGAGUAGAAGCUAGAUGUAAAAUUUGCAAGUUGACAAUGCGACUUAGAAAAGAGAGUUGCAUACUUGAGCAAGCUAGUUUUUGUUGAAGAGCCAAGAACCAGAUGCUCAAUUCCCGCCUGUGAAGCAUAUUCAAUUAGUGCUUUGGAUAUAUCUGAAUCUUCUAGUAGAACGUCCUUGCAUUGUAUCUAUGGUCCAUCCACCAUACCCCACCAAGAAACAUAACCAAAGAGAUGAUAAGAAUUCUAAGAUGAAGACCAUUGCCAAAAAUAUUUGUUUUCACUUUCACAAACAUGCAUCUUGGAAGGAACAACAACUCACAUCUUUCCGUGUACAGAAGACACGAUAUGGGAGGAAAACGUUUUUGUUAUUGCCUUCUGGUUCUUUAGAUACCAGUGAAGUAUCAUCGCCAAGGAGAGCACUUAUCCCUGCCAACGCAAUCAAUGAAAUGAGAAAUCAAUCAAGUAGCCAUUAAGCCCAUUGCUACUAAAUAUCUGUUCUUCCUUUGUACAUCUUUUACUUCUUCUUUUUUCCCUUUUUCUUGUCAAGAUUGCCUAAACAAUACAACAAUGAUACAUGGACACCGUCUCUCAUUUUUCUCCAUCUCUAUCUCUAGUUUCUUGUCACAUUAUCACUCCUCUCUCUUCUGUUUCUUUCUCUCGUGGUGUAAACUAGCAUUUAGUGUUCACAAAAUAUUAUUUAAAAAGGUAUAGAGGGGGGAAAAAGCAUGCACAAAUGUUGUGAGGAGGCAUGCUAUUUGAUGCUCUCAUUAAUGCCAAUUUCAUAUGGCAUAGUGUAUGACUUUAUGCAUAAGGUAUGGUACUUACUUGGGGUGAAAAGAGAAGGUGACGGAGAUAGAGUUGGCGCGAGAAGCUUGACAUGGAUGAGAAUUACAGUUGAACUUCUUGUGAGGAGAUUGUCAACUGCCCAUUUUAGUGCAUUUUGGCCCCCUUUUUCUUUAUCAAUUGCCACUGCUACUAAUCCAUUCACACCAUCCUUCUUCUCUGAGUGAUGCUUUGACAGCCACAUUACUCUCUUUGCCUUUUUGUUCCAAUGCAAUCUUAUGAACAAAAACCAAACUAAAGGGACCCUGAAGGCCAAAAAGUCUUAUCUUCUCUUCCUUUGAAAGAAACCAUCAAAAGUUCCUUUUUUUUUUUUUUUUGCCGUUUUAUGUUUCCCUAUCUGUUGUUGGUUAAGUGGCACCCUCAAGUAGCUUUGAUGAAUCAAAGACGUUUUUUUUUUGCCCUUUGAAUCUUCUCUGUCCCUCCCUCAACAUAAGACUUGAGACCUGUUUAAUUUGUUUACUUUGUUAGCUUGUUGUUCCUGUUUCUUUUGAUGUUCAAAACCUCAAACAAGAAAAAAAAAAUUAAAUAACCAACCAUCUCCUGUAUGUAAGUAGCAGCCAAUUUUGGAUUUAUCUUAACUAUUUUGAGCUUAUUUUUCCCGAAUGUGACAACCACACAGAUUAUUCUAUUCUAUAAUGUUGUUUACUCCCAUGAGAGAAUAACCAAAAUUUGCGGGCUAUCUUUGACUUCGUCCUUCUUGAAAAUGAAAUCUACUAACUAAAUGCUAUGUAGUCAGCCACAAACCGAAGCUCAUUCCUGCACCCAUUUGUUAAUAACUUUUAUUAUAAAUAAAUUGUAUGAAUAAUCUGUAAUCCCACGUGUCGAUGGCAUUAUACCUCUAUUGUUGCUAAUAUAAAAAAAAGAAGAAUUAAAUUAAAUGGUUAUAAAAAAAGGAUUAAUUUAAUUUUUAGUCCAUCAAACUUUUUCAUAUUAUAAUUUUUUUAUUCCUGAAAAUAUUAUGAUAACUUUUAGUCUUUCAUUAAUUUUUCAGCAUUAUUUUUAGUUUCUCUAAAACUUUUUAUCCAUUUUUAACCUGUCAUUUAUUUUUAUUACUCAAAAGUAGUCCUAAAUAUAAAAUAAACAAGAGACUAAAAAUUGAUAAAAUAAAAAUUAAUUUUGAGCAAUAAAAAUAAAUAAGGAAAUAAAAAUAGACAAAAAAAAUUAAAAUGAUUAAAACUGCCGACAAAAAAUUAACAAAGAAUCAAAAGUUAUAAAAAAAAAAUUGGGAACUAAAAUUAGAAUCUAAAAAAAUUAAGGGACUAAAAAUUUAAUUAAUCUAAAAAAAAUAUAACUUCUGACAUCCAAAUUUCUUAUUCAAUCUCAAUAAUUGAAUUCUUAAGUUUACCCCAAUCAUUUUUUAAAUUUCAAUUGGAUAAAAUCUUUUGAAAGUUUUUUUUUUCUGUCAUUAUAGACAAUUUUGUGACACUCUCUACCCCACACAUAUAUAUACUAAUAAUAAAAAAAAUACGAAUGAGGAAUUAAUUAAAACUUUUAAAACACAUUUAAAUAAAAUAUUUCAAAAGGAUAAAAGACUCACAUUCACAUUUCUAACAUCAUAAUUGAACUUGUUCAAAUAAAUAAUAAAAUUAUCUCGGCUCAAAACAAGGUCGUCCAAAACAUGAUGCAAUUAAUAUAGAAACUCAUGCCCUAAUAUCACAUCCUAUCAAAGCACUGUGUGUUAAUGUCCUCUAACAUAAGGUUCUUUAAAGUCAUCCACCUAACCAUCUGCUUCCACGAACACAAAGUUCGAGAUCAUCACAUGAUCCAAACAGAAGCAACACACAUUAUAAAAAUACGGAUAAACAAAUGGGCAUGUGACAUUAUAAAAAUACUCAUGCCACAAUAUCACAUCCUAUCAAAGCACUGUGUCUUAAUGUCCCUGUGGAUUCAACAUUCGGACUUUCAAGUACUUUACUACUUGAGACAAUUUGGUGCACUUGUCAAUUAGCUAACAAUGAUCUCAAAACAACAUGUUAUCUCAUAAUUCAUCACAUAUUCAAUUUAUCACUUACACACAAUUUUAAUCACAAUUUCAUGAUCUCAAUAUUACAAUCUUGUAAUUAUAACCAUACAUGAAGAAUUACAAUACAAUAAACAUACCAAAAUAAACCUCAAUUUGAUCCCCUAAGUAUUCCUAUACAUGUUCAUUCUAACCUCAAUUGCGAUAAACUCAUCUCUUACCUCUAAGCAAGCUCACGUGUGUAGUCCGACAGUGAUAGCAACGUCUCUAGCAGUUUCCUAAGAUUCCUCAAGUUUUUCCUAUGUUUGCUUUGUUAGGUUUUCCAAGCGUUAGAGAAGAGGAGAAGAGAUUGAAGCCUCUAGUUCACAAACUGCGUGCAAUGAGAAUUUCUCCCCCCACAGAUGUGAGGAGAUGCAUUUCAAACCUGGUGUCCAAAUUUUACAAUGAUCCAACGGUUAACAAGUUUGAGAUCGUAGUUUUACUGGGAUAGGUUUGGGUAUAUGCGGAAAAAAACAAAGAGCUACGUGCAAGGGACAUUACCCUCACAACAUACAUUAUUUAGAAAAUCCCAACGGUGAGUAUGUGCGAAAUUAAGUUGCAAACUCGGUAUUCAAAUUUCAAGUUGAUCCAACGGUUAAUGAGUUCAAGAUCAUCAUUUUACUAAGACGUAUUUGGGUGUAUACGGAAAAAGAGAGGAUUUUGAUAUAAAAAAGAGGGUAAAUGAAAUUGAGAAGAAGAGGAAGCGUAGAAACGUAAAAUUGACCUAACAUGUCUCUUUUUAGGGUACUCAAAAUCUAUUGUUUACUCUAUUUUUCUACAUUUUAUCAUUUCAUAAAAAGAAAUUAUAUUUUACUUUAUAUCAAAUGAAUAAAUAAAACAUUUUUUAAGGACAUAUAUUUAUUUUAUUUACCUUAAAACUAUUAUUUUAAUUAAUAAAAUUAUUUCUCCUUAUUUAUUUAAUUAUAAAAACUUCAUUAUUUUUCUAAAACUUUAUUUAUUUUUAAAUAAAAUCUUUUUUAAUUUAUUUUACGGGUGUUACAAAUAUCAUCUAUAUUUUCUAUGGAAGUCGAACCUAAACCUUAUUUACGAUUUUUUUUUCCAAUAUCAUCAGCUUUUGUAUUUCAUUAGUAGAUAAUUUAUGCUUAGCAUAUCUUUUUACCUACUUUUUUUUUGGAGAGAAGUAUGUAACAUCCCAUUUUUCGUAAAUAAAUUUAAAAAGUUUUUUUUAGUUAAAAAAGAAAUAAAGUUUUUAGAAAAUGGUGAGGUUUUAUAAUUAAAUAAAUAAGGAUAAAUAACUUUAUUAAUUAAAAUAAUGGUUUGAGAGAAAAUAAAAAAAAUAUUUUAUUUAUUCAUUUGAUAGGGUAAAAAAGUUGUGCCUUGGUGACUUGUUGGUCAUGGGUUCGAAUCCGGAAACAGCCUCUUUGCAUAUGCAAGGGUAAGGUUGCGUACAACAUCCCUCCCCCAUACCUUCGCAUAGCGAAGAGCCUCUGGGCAAUGGGGUACGAAGUUUUAUUUGAUAGGGAAUAAAAUAGAGUUUCUUUUUAUAAAAUAAUAAAAUUAAAUAAAUAGAGUAAAUGAUAGAUUGUGAGUAUCCUAGUUAUAAAUAGAGACAUGGUAGGUUAAUUUUCAUACUGACGAUACGCCUCCUCUUCCUCUCAAUUUCAUUUACUCUUCUCCCUUCCUAAAAUCCUCUUUUUUUCCCACAUACAUUCAGACCUAUCUUAGUAAAAUGAUGACCUCCUCGUCGUGAUACUUCAGCACUAGGUUCGCAACUCAAUUUCGAACAUUCUCACUGUUGGAAAUUUCGAAAUAAUAUCGGGGGUGAGAGAAAUGUCCUUCGCAUCUUAGCUUCUCCUUUCUCACAGAGACCCAAAAUCUAUCCUAGUAAAACUACAAUCACAUACUCGUUAACUGUUGGAUCAUUGUGAAAUUUUGACACCAGGUUUGAGAUUCAUUUACUCACAUCUUCACUAUUGGAUUUUCAAAUUAAUUUGUGGAAAGGUAGAAAUAUGCAUUGCACGCAAACAGUGGAAUGAAGGCUUCAAUCGCUUCUCCUUCUCUCAAAUGCUUGGAAACCCCAUCAGAGCAACCAGAGGAAAUGUUUGAGGAAUCACAUGAAAUUGCUAGAAAUUCCGCUAUCACUGUCGGAAUACACACUAGAGUUAGAAUGAACAUGUGUAAGGAUCCUUAGAGAGUUAGAUUGUGGUUCAUUUUGGGAUGUUUAUUGAAUUAUAAUUUUUCCUUUAUGAUUAUAAAUACAAUAUUGAUGUCAUGAUGUGAAUUGGUUGAUAAAUUGAGUGCUCUUGGUGUUUUUGUUUUUUUUAUACCUAUGAUUUUGAUAUAAUUGUGUGAAAUUAUUUAAGGGGUUUUACUCCCCAUGUUGUGAUAAACCUUUUGUAUAAAUUUUUAUAUUGAAAUUAUGAAAUUGUGAGUAAGUGACAAAUUGAACCUGUGAUAAAUGGUCAAAUACAUGUGUAUUGAGAUGUGUGUAUUGAGUUGUGAGCUAUGAACUGUGCAAUCACACAAUUAUAAGACCCUUUAAGGGUGACGAGUUUUUGCACGAUGAGUAUUGUGAUGGGAUCCACUGUGGGGACCUGACGAGUUUAAUCACAAGUGCGGCGAGAUAAAAUUAUUUUGAAAAUAAUUGAGGAGUCGUGUGUAUUGCAUAGUUCAUAGGUAAAAUGCAUAUGAUUCAUGAGGUAUGAUAACAUGUUAAAUUGGGAUUAUACCAUUGUGAUUGAGACCGAGUGUGUAUGAUAAGUUGAGUACGUAUUGACUUGUAAUAUAUAUGUGUGCAUUGAGAUGUUGUGUGCAUUGAGUUAUGAGCUAUGAAUUAUACAAUCACACGACUAUAAGACCCUUUAAGGGCGACGAGUUAAUACGCGAUGAAUAUUAUGAUGGACACCACUAUGGGGACCCGACGAGUUUAAUCACAAGCGCAACGAGAUAAAACUAUUUUGAGAAUAAUUGAGGAGUUGUGUGUUUUGUACAGUUCAUAGAUAGAGUUUGUGUGAUAAAAUGUUUUCUGGGUUGGAACUGAAUCAGGAGGGAGAGGCCCUGACGGACUCUUCAGAGUGUAGGCCUUGGGGGUAAAUACACCCGAUUUGAGUGCUCCUUUAAGUUUGUGUCGAUCCCACAUGAUUGGAGCAUUCUCGUAAAACAGCGUGACCCUGACUGGUCUCCCUAUGAUUUUACCUAGUGAGAGUGACCUAACUUGCUAGUGUGUGAUUUGUCUUAUCAUGUACUCCUAGGCGUCCAACGAAGUUUUUCACUGACAUGGUACCACAUUGCAUAUAGGAUUGAGUCUUGGUGUAUCUCUUGCAUAACACUUGUGUAUUGAUUGAUAUUGAUUGAUUUAGUGAUACUGUAUUUUGAUCAUUGAGUACGUGAAUGUUUUGAAAAUGAAUGAGAUGUGUGCUGUUGUGAUGUGAUGUUGCGCGACAAAGUGGUGAAAUAACGUGAGCUAUGCUUAAGUAAGUUGUAUUUUGUUUAUAUGAUAUUUAUACCUAUAUGUUGUCUUGUUUCUCUCUAUUAGUUAGGAAUGUGACAACUCACUCCCCGUGUGUUAUUUGUGUUUGGAUUUUGUGAUGAUCUCAAACUUUGUAUUCGUGGGAGCAGAUGGUUAGGUGAAUGACUAUGAAGAAUUUCAUGCUAGAGGACACGGGAACACAAUGCUUUGAUAGGAUGUGACAUUGGGGUAUAGGUUUCUAUAUUAAUUGCAUGAAGUUUUGGACGAUCUUGUUUUGAGCCGAGAUAAUUUAUUAUUUAUUUGGACAAGUUUUAUUAUGAUGUUAGAAAAAUGAAUGUGAGCGUUUUACCCUUUUGAAAGGCUUGUAUUUAAAUUUGUUUUAAAUUUUUUUAAUUAAUUCUGAUUUUUUAUUUCUUUUAUUAUUAGUACAAAUAUGUGAGGGGUAGAGGAUAUCACAAAGUCUGCCCUAAAAAUAUCACAAGUAUUUUACACAAAACACUUUGGAGAAAGUUGAUUUAUUUAUUUGAUGCCACGUUCGAAUUCAUGCUUUAAUUCAAUUACUACUUACUAAAAGUUAGGCAUCUAAAAAGUUAUUUAAUUUGGGUUUACUCUAUUUCUGUAUUUUUUUUGUGUUAUUAUUCCUGUGUUCUUACUCUUAUUUUGGUUUACUCUAUUUCUGCUCUAAAAAUUCUUUUUCAAGCGUCCUAAUUGUUUGAACAAUGUGUGUAUUCUUUUUUACCGUCGUAUAAUGCAAAAAGCUAUUAGUAGUACAUUUUACUACAAAACAAAAUAGAAGUGUUACAAGAUGAGGUGAUGAUAAAUGCUAAAUAUGAGUUAUCUUUUAUGAUAAAAAUAUAAUGAAAAUAUCCUUAAAAAUAUUUAUUUAACAGUUAUUUAUGUUUAAUAGUUAAAAAAUGAUGUUCUUCUCAUUCAUGGCUUGCAGAUAUGAAAUGAGGGAUUAAAAGCAAAAAAAAAUGAAGAAAAUAGCAAAAAAAAUGAAAAACGCUCACUGCAAGACACGCUCAGUGCGCAGCACAUGCUCAACACGUAUACAGGUCCCGCGCUAAGCGAGAAGAGGCGCGCUAAGCGCGAAAACACGCAUUGGCGCUAAGCGAGAAGAAUCGCGCUAAAUGCAAAAACAAGCACCCGCGCUAAGCGAGCAGCGCAGGCUUAGCGCAAGUACGCAGAUCCAAGUCCACUCCAGCAACUAUAAAAAGUCAAGGAGAAAAGACAUACCUCAGAGUACUCUAAUACACGCCUAAAGCCUGAGAACUCUCACUUAGAAAAUUCUUUCUUCUCUUCCAUUAUUUUCUACUCCCUUUUUUCAUCCCUUCUCCUUCAUCAGUUUUUAUAUCCCUUUUCAAGUAUAAGGCCCCUAUGACUAUGAAAGGCUAAACCCUUAGUUAGGGUCUGACAGAUCUAAAAAGUCAAUAGAUGUAUUGUAUGCUUCAUAUCUAUCAAUGUAUGUGUUUUCUUUCCUAUUAUGCUAUCUUAUUUUACUUUCAUGUAUCAUUCAUCAUUAUAUCAUCUUUAGGGGUUAGAUGCUCAAUAGAGGGUAAUUCUUAAUAGAAAUACAAUGGAAGUCUUACAUGUAUCAAUUUUAGGGAUUAGUCGCUUGACAAAGGAUAAUUCCUAAUAGAACUAAAAGGAAGUGGUGUCUUAAUAAAAUCAUUGUUAGACAUAGAAUGAUUGCAUUAUGUCCAUGCAUCAAAGCAAGCAUCUAAAAUUAGAACUUUAUGCAUUUUAUCUAUUGAGUCUUUGCAAAGAUAUUUCGGAGAUAGAUAGGUAAAAUAAGUUUGUCAUCAUGAGACAUUGGGACAAAUAUUUUAAUAGAUAUGGGUAGGGAAAAUUCACCUAAUUAGUAGAGAAAAAUAUAAAAUAAUGCAUUUUAGUCAAAUAAGGCAUAUUAGGUCCUAAUAUUCUCAUUUUAUUGAAUUUCCUAUUAUAUCUUUUGUCUCUUAUUAAUAUAUAUUAUUUUAGUUACUCAUUCUUUUAGCUCAUCAUUUACCUCAUCUCAUUUUUUCCUCUUAUAAAUUGGGAAUUAUUCAACGCAAGUACAAAACAAAGUAAUUGUAAAAAUUGACAAUCGAACUUGCGAACUGUAUUACUUAGACAUUUUGUAUACUUGUCAAAUGGUGAACAGGUGAAAUAGCAAAACUUGAUAAACAAGUUGCGGAUGCCAUAUGAAACAAGCAAAAUUGCAUUUAAAUACUAAUGAAACGCAGUGUUAUAUAAUCACUUGCACGAAAAAAUGUAAGAAAUGUAUGAAAAGAGUAAGUCAUUACCUUACAGAAACUCCGUUCAUUUGUUUUUUCCACCAUUAAAUUUACCCUUGGGUAUGUAUAAAGUCGUAUCAAAAUUAUCAUACAGACAUCCUCCCCAAUUAAAAACCAUAGAUACUUUAAAUAGUGUGUGCCUAAACUUUCUUAAACUGAGUAAUUCUAUUCAGAUCUUUCCCUUACCACAUUCACCUGAUUUAAAUCACUCUUAAUUUCAAACGGCAAGUAUAACAACAUACUGAUAGGAUAGAAAGAUAUAUAGUGUUUAAGUUUCUUAUGUAUUACAACUUUAUUUCCAUCGCCACAAAAAUAGCUAGUUGAUAUAAUUGGUAGCAAACUUGCGUGUUUCUGUUCUCUAUCAACUUUAGUCCUUGUUGACCUUUUCUAGACAACUUGGAUGAAGGUCAUAGUCACAGACAUCACAAGAGAAUGUCCAGAAUUUGCCUUGCUUUUUACAGGAAUCACAUACAUAUGCUUUGGCCAUAUCCAAUUUCAGUACAUGUUCAUGCUUCACAUCCUCAACCUGCGGAGGCAAAGCCUCUCCUUCCUUUCUCAGAGCUGCUUCAAGGUCUCUUAUCCGCGAUUCGGUGAAUGGGAAAGCUUCUGCACCAUAUGAGGAGACCAUUAACUUUCCAUUCACACUAAUUACUUUGCCAUCUGGUCCAAUGAGAACCAAUGCAGGAAUGCCCUUUACAUCGAAGAUUCUUCGAAGGUCAUGCCUUGUCCUGUCCUCAUAUGGGACAGCAAGCCAUGGCAUAGUACUUUUGUUGACAUUGAAUUCCUCAAGGUCCCUAUCUGUUGAGAUUAAAACAAUCUCAAAGCAGUCGCCUUUUGCCGCCUUGAGAUUGUUGUAUGCAUCUGUAAGUUGGACAGUGAAAGCGCAGCAAGGAGGAGACCAAUAGGCACCAAAAUACAGGCCUAUGGUUUUACCAGCUAGUUCAGAUAGUGGCACCUGCAACAAUAAGACAUGUCAAUGUCAUGUUUGUAACUACUACAUAGUGAACCAUAACUCCAAGCAAGGCAUUAGGCUACCUUUCUAUCAUCUCCAGAGAUGAGAAAUUUGCCUCCUUCGUGUCCCAAUAAUUCUUCCAAGUCUGCUUCCUCGCGCUUCCUUAUAUCUAUGCCUUUCAAUUCCUCAUGCCUCUUCCUUGUGAAAGGAAAUGCAUCAGCACCAUAAUCCUCAAUGCAUCCAAUCAAGUCUUCUUCAAUGGUUAUGCCAUCUGAACAAGAUGGAACGAAUGAUGGGAUUCGAUCAACUUGGUAUCUGUCAAUCAGUCUUCUGUGCAAAUUUAAAUCAAAUGGAACAGCUAGCCAUGGCAUAUUCUUGAAGUGUUCUUUAAAUCCAUCCUCAUCACGGUCAAAGGAGAUGAAGAUAAUCUCUAGAUUUAUUCGCCUCUUUCUCAGUGUUUCAUAAAGUUCAACAAGACGGGGAACGAAAGCUCUGCAAGGUCUGCACCAGUUUGCAGUGAAAAAUAGGCAGAUAAUUUUCCCAUUGCAUUCUGACACGGGUACCUAAUCUCAUGAUUCAAAGAUGGCAAGCAUUAGCUACAGUAACCAAGAUCACAAGCUAUGCAAAUGAUGGGAUUUGUUUUUCAAUGUUGGAUUUUACUCUUUUAUUUACUUGGAAGCAAAAGAAAAAAAAGAGAGAACUUUCUGAAGGUGGUUUAGAAGUUAAACUACUUAGUGCAUAUUUAGUUUGCGGUUAAAAAUGUUGUGGCACACAUUCCAAUGCAAAUCCAACUGAUAAAAGCAAAAUGAAUGCAAAAACAAGGGUCCUGAUCCGUUGGCAAAGUUACUUUUGCCUCAAACAUAAUUUUGCAACUAAUUCCCAAACAUGCUCUAAGAGGGUUGAUCUUAAGUUGGAUCUAUUAACUUAACAACACACACACACACAAACAAAUAACAGAGACGGUUCUGCAGAAACUAAGCUACCUUCCCUUCACAAGAUAAAAGGAACUCAACACCUUCAGCUGCAAAUAUCUUCAGAAUAUCACGGUUGUCAGUAUGUGUGGCUUCAAAAUUUAACCCUGCCAUCGGAACUGAAUAAAACAGAUGUGCUCUCUUUUUAUAAGCUUCCUUGAGACCUAAUUGAUCAAGAGAUAAAUAUGAGUUUUGAAAGUAAUAUCCAGCAUGGACUAUAACACUGUAGUAUCAAUAGGACCUUGAAUUUUAACUCUCACAGUAGUUUAUACUUUUGCAAAUUGUAAGGGCCGAAAGACCUUGAGACAGAAGCAGUUCAGAUUCUGCGCAAGGGCAUCUUUGGCUCUUUCUUAAAUUUCACAAUUUCUCUGUAGCUGUCCUUCAAUUGGAAGGAAACAGAGUGGAAAAAUCUUAUACUAUAGCUAUGUGAACCAAACUUGGAGAACAGAAAUUUCUGAAGUGGGAAGCAAGCAAGACUUAACAAAGAGCACAAAAAUUGAUGAUCAUGUAUGAAAAUGAAUAUGGGGGAAUAUUCCCCAGGAGGGUGCUUCAGUCUUUAAAACCAGGCAAAGGGUUGCGUACACGCCUUUCAAAUGAAACAGCAUCGCACUCUCUAAACGACUUGCAAAUGAUUUUGAUGAUCAAUGAUUCUUUCUAAUAUAACUCAAUUGGAAAAUGCUUCAUACAUAUAUAGAAAGAGUCACAUCUCCUCAUAUCUUACGUGCCAGAAUUAGAAUACAUAUGUGUAAAAGUUUAGGUGGGUCCAACUGUAAUUAGUAGUGUGUUUGGAUUUGCGGUGGAAACCCGAAAACCAAACCACGGUGUCCGACCGUGAUUUUCCACCACACCAAGAAGCAUUUAUGAACUCAUAAGUUACUAAUCCUUGCAUUCAAGCGGAUUUUAAUGGACCCAAAAGAAGGAGAAGAAGAUUAAAAGCCCCCUUAUCUAUUAGUAUUCUUUCGAGAAUAUUUUGAUUUUUUGCAGCAAAACCAGUCAUGAGGCAUGAAUUCAUUAACAACAUAUGUUAAUGAAUUCAAUACACAAAUAAAAUGGAGAAAGAAUAAGUGAUAAGUGAUCCAAAGUAGACACAAAUGAUAAGUGAUAAGUGCACAAAAACAAGUAACUGGUUGGUAGAUAAAUUUUUGAAGUAAGUUACCUUGCAGCUACAGCUGAAGAAUAACACCAGCGGAUAGAGAGAGAGAGAAGAGGAAGAGGUUGAGUCUCCAAGACGAAAGGAGAUGAUGAAGCAGAGCGUUGGGACAGUGAAGAGCUUUAAAUAUGUUGAUAUGGUGUGUGAUCAAGGCUCAAUCAACAUUCAAUACACACAUAAAAUGGAUACUUUUUUAAAAUCUAAUUUGAAACACAUCAUAAUUUUACUUUUUAAGGUAUAAAUAUAUUCUUUUUUUAUAUGCCAUUCAACCUUAAAUUAAUGUUAAUUUUCCUAAAACACCCAUCAGCAGACAGAACAAAAUACACGGAUAUUAUGGUUACAAAACCUCCUUUCCUUUCUUUUCUUUUUAGACUUUAAAAAGAUUAACACAAUACAGUUAUUUUCUUGCUGGUACGUCGAACCAAAAAUGAAAAACAAUAACAUCUGUUAAAAUCUAGAAACUCAUUUUGAGUAUUAAAACGCAAUGAUAAGAAAUAUAAUUUUAAAUAAAUUUAAAAAUAUAUUUUUCUUUAAAAGCAUAUUUUAAUAUUUUUAUUUCUUGAAAACAAAAAACAAAAAAUUAAACUAAAUAUAUUUUUAAAAUUUUAAUUUUUUAAAAAUAAAAAUAAGAAAUAAAAAUAAAAAAUAAAAAUACAAACCAAACCUAUAUUAUUUUGAAGAUUGGGCAUAUGCUCUGCUUGUAAAACGGAUAUGCUGACAAAACAGUGCGGCUGCAUAUACGUGUAUCCAAGUCUCAUUUAACUAAAUAAAUAAAUAAAUAUUUCUAUCUUGUAUAAAUAAUAAUAAUAAUAAUGUGCUUACUCUUAUUCUAUCAUUGAAGAUUUUCUUUUCUGGUCACAGGUGAUCAAAGGUGUUAAAACAUGUGCCCACUGGUCCAACACAGUGAAAUGGAAGAGAGAUCCCUCACUUAUUGUUACCAACCUUGUUUUAAUCUGAGAUGCUGAAAAUACGAAUGAUCCAACCUGAGGCGUGUGAAUACACUGUUUUAAAGGAUUUAUUCACAUAAAUUGUGCAAUUCAAGAUACAAUAAAAAAAAUUCUGAAACUAAAGGAACAGAACUAACAAACCAAUUUAUGUUAUUGUUAUAAUUGUAGUGUAAAAUGUUUUAUAAAACAAUUCAAUCACAAUCCAUCAUAAUAAAUUUAUUAUUAAUCUUUAAAAUAAUUAUCUUAAAAUAAUUUAAACAAUAAAUAAUAUAAAUUUUUUACACAGUUUGUAUAUAUGCAUUCAACUCAUAACUUAAUGCUCACGUAAAUAAAAUGGUGGUUUAAUAGCAUUACAAAAAUGUCAUCAUAAACAAAAACUAUUUAUUAUAACUCAUUUUAAAUUUUGGAAUUCAAAUGAAUAUAAAGAAAAUGAUUAAAUGGCAAAAUGAAGUCUAUUAUCACAUGCACAAGAGGGAAUUUCUUCCUGCACCCAAUAUAACUUCUUCUACACCCAACAUAAUAAAAAGAUCAAAAUAUCCUUCAAUUAAAAAUCAAAUACAUCAUCCCUCCCCACAUCAAUCACCCACGCUGCAGCGUCCGUCCCUCCCCUCCAUCCUACAUUCUUUCAUUCUAUCGCGCAUCCCCACCGUGAGUAUCCCCUUUCACACAACUUCAUUUUAAGUACAUUAAAUCAUACGGAUUGACAAUCUGUAUGGUAUAUGAGGGAAUCCAUAUAAACCAUACGGAUUAUCAAUUGGUAAUCCAUAUGGAGUAAAUGAAGGCAAAAAAAACUUAUCGAUAACAAUGCAGUGUUACUCACAAUGAUGAAGGAGAAAAAACUAGCAAAGGACAAUAAGAAACUAUCGGAGGAGAAAUUAGGGAGGAGCCACAGAUAGCAAACACACACCAAGAAUAAUACCAACACCAGCUUCAUGGAGGAGAUGGAGGAGACCAAUGGAUGCGUCAAAAAUUCUAAAUGAACAGUGUCUUAUAGAUUGUCAAUUCAUAGACUAUAUCAAAAAAAAAAAAGGAACGAAGAAGAAGUAAAAAAGAAUAAAAUUAAAAAAAAACUUUAAAUAUGUUAAAUGUAGAAAAAAAUUAUUGAACGUAGAAAGAAUAAUCUACACAAGGGUAAGGGGCAAAUGCGCAGCUUUGUACUGCAUCUGUACCCACGAGGCCCUAGCUUAUGUGCAUAAGUUCGUACCUCGUAUUAACUACUUUGAAAGCCUUUAAAACAAGCUAGAUAUAUAAUCAAACAAAGUUCAACAAAAAGAUAAUGUUGAACAUAUGCCUUUUGAAAUACCCCUAAAUAUCACGUCAGCUUUCAGCGACAACCUUGAUAAAAGAAAGAAAAAAAUUGUACGAUGUGUUUCGUUCAAGAAUUUAUAUACAUACAAAAUGAUUAAUAGAUCAAUUAAAUCAUUACACAAUUCGUCAUUUAAUAACUACGUAAUUUUUCGUUACAAACUCCACAUCACAUCAACUCAUGAUAAUAUGCUUUUUCUUAUCAAAAUUAAUAGUAAAAUAUCGGCCAACUUUAACUCACGACAAACUUAUGAUUUACUUGGUUUAAAAUAUGGCUUGAAAAAUUGAGUUAUUUCGACUCGUGUUCAGUGGAUUUGACCAGAACGACAGGUGGUUUGGUGGUUUGUCUUAUUGGAUAUAAAAAUUAUAAAUUCUUAUAUAAAUUAAUAACUUACGAGUUAAAAUAUAAUUUAAAUUUGAUGGCUAUGAAAUUAUACAAUCAUUUUUUUACUUUUAUAACCUAAGUCUAACAUUCAUUUUAUUAACUUUAUUUUUAUAUUUUAAAUAGAAAAUAAUAUUUGAUUAAUAGAAACUUAUAUGAGAUACCCCGACCACGUAGAAUUUGAUUGGUUCUCUGAUGUAAAAUCAGUAAACCAAACAUGUUAAUAGCUAUUAUUAUUUUUCUUACAUGUUAAAUAAAAUAAUAAAUAUUUUUAUUUAAACUAUCUAAAUCUCCACGAUUAUAUUAGCAGGUUUAAUAUAUUUACUUUAUUAUUCAAUGUUUUCUUUAUAAAAUAGUAAAAAAAAUCUUCAAAAGGAUAUCAUAUAAAGUUAUAACAUUACUCGGAAUAAUAUAAGUCCGAGAAAUGAUAAGAGAUAAAAAGUAGCAUUUUUUACAAUGAGAUGACCGAUGAGAUAAGGGCUUAAAAAGGUAGGGAAAAGGAUAUUAAAUUAGAUGAUAUAUACUGCAGGUGAAAUUGAAUUUGCCGAUAAAUAAUAAUAAAACCUCGAGAGAGAGAAAAAAAAUAGCAUAAAACGGACGGAACAAACCAGGAGAUGACUCAAUGCUUAUCCACUACUUGCAGGUCUAGAAAAUGAUACAAUAUGACAAUGACCCAUUUCCACCGAUGAGAAUGGGAUAAUUUAUUAACUUUUCUUUCGGGAGGCCCUCGAAAACAUGUCUUUGAUGUUGUGUGAUUCUGUCUCCAAUUUUACCUUCUUUGCUUGUCUACCUUUCUUUGCAGUUGUACCCUUCUUAUCAUUACUCUGUUCCUGAUCAAAUUUAGUGGUAAACAAAUAAAUACAAAACAAAAUAGCAAAUCUAAAGACUCAUCCUUCUCCUGUCCCAGCAAAUACCUGUAAUUCAUUACAUAAACGUGAGUUAUUAUUUCCUUCAGCAUUUGCUUGUGCUUUUCCAGUAACCUCAAGUAUAUUUAACCUGCAAAAGAAAAAUCUCCUUACGGCAUCUUACAGGAAUCCCAUUCCAACCCGACUAGGGUUUCUCUUAUGAGUUAUAAUCACAAGGAAUGUAGAAGUAAAAUCUUUAAAAUAAGACAUUCUGAAAGGCUGAUACUUAAGAUGGUUACACAAAAGCUGCAACCAAGGCUCUUCCUUCAAAUACUCUCCUAAUAUAGAGACUGCAUCAAUCACUGCAUCAGUAACACAAGUACGUUAAUGCACAGCAAAACUGUGAAACAAAAAGACCAGCAUUUCAAGUAUUAAGAGAAACAUCAACAUUGAUAUUUACUAUCAAGGGAUAGGGGAGUAUUGUCAAGGAUGAUAUUGGUGCUUCGAUUAUUUAAAUACACAACUGCGCAUGAAGCAUCAGCAUAGAUGUGUGUAUUUUUCUCAUGCGCUAGUUUGGUUUUCACAUAGUAGGAAAGUAUACAUACGGUACAGUCAAAGGCAUAAAUCUGAGCAGAAGCACAACACACACUUCAAGGGCCACAUUUAUAGGUCUCCCUUUUCCAUAUACAACGUAUUUUUUUUUCUUUUCAAUUUAACCUCAACAGAAUAAAAUUCUCCAAAAGCCAACAGAACAGAAUGGUAAUAAACACUUUACAUGUGUCUUUCUCUGAUUGAACAGCAUAGUUUUUGUCCAAUUUGGGUAGUGUCUGUUUUAGCUGACAAACCUAAAAUAAGAUAAUCAAAUUAACAAACUUUGAUACAGGUAAAAAAGUUUUCUGGCAAUUAAAUCAAAGAUGGUCAAACACAUACCCAAAGAUAAAUAGAAGUUUGAAAGCAAACCUUUUACAAAGCAAUUCAAGCAUUUCCUAUGUGGUUUUAUAAAUGGAUACUUGUAUCAACCAUCAAAUCUAAAGAUAGGCUGUGACUCUCUAGUGAUGCAAAACUAAUAAUGUAAUGAAAUAGACCAGACAUAUUUCGGUCUUGGAUUCAUUUUCAUGAAAAACACCAUGAAGUUCAGGCAUCCAUAUGCUAAAUAUCAUACAUCUAUAAUAGUACAUGGAGGAUGGGAUUUUCUGUGCAACUACAUUGCAUUUACUAGUUUUUUUUUUUCCUGAAGGAAGGAGAGCAGGUAGGGGAGAUUAAACAUCAUCUAAACUAAAUGACAAUCAAGGAAAUACAGACAAACCUUAUAGCACAGCCAACGUAGAACCUUUGAAUCAUCAAGUCUGAAGAAUUUUGAGGAUCCAACUUCUGCAUAUGCAUAAAGAUACAAGUCCAUGAGAAUUAAAAACAAGAAAGUAAAUGAUUAACAAUGUGAUCACCAUAUGUUGCUGUCAUCACCAGUAUAAAAAACAUAAAGCCAACAACAAACUUCAUUUUUUUCUUCGAUAUCUGCCCAAUAAAUUACUUAAAUCAUAUAAGAAAAGUUGGCAAACUUCCAAACUCAAGUUGUAAAUAGAAUGAGUACAAGAAUAGGGUCACCUAUGAUUUCAGAAACUACUUGCAUACAGUUCUCCACAAUAGACAUUAACUGCAUGUAUCCAGGAUAUCCAUCAACAAACAAGAUCUCAUCCAAUUGCCUGAACCUCCCAAGAUCAUCCCCUUUCUGCUUGCAUUUUAAAGAAACAAGAGAUACUCAGAGAUAUAAUUCCCAGGGAAAACACUAUCUAGAGCUAAUUUAUCCAUUCACAAACCUAAAUAGUAGAAGUUCUGUGGAACUCGCAAACAAGGGAUAUCUUUGACUUUUUGUGUAAAUUCCUUUGCAGAUAAACCAAUAAUUAUUAGUCUGGGUGGGUUCUAUUCUAUACAUAAGGUGCCAUAUGUGCAACUAAAACUUUUAUUCUGUUUCGUUAGAGCAAUAGUUGAACCAAGGAUUUACACAAAUGGAAAAGACUUCCAAAAUAAGAAAUGACUUCCAACUCCCAUGGUUCAAAAGGAACAUAUAACUAAUUACCUUCAUUCUAGCUUCCUUGAAUAUAGGCAACAUGAUGAAAACGGGAUCAAUUGGUGUGGAUAAAUACAGCCGACCAUCUGUUGGGGAACAAAAAAGUCAACAAUGAAAAGAAUCAAAAGAAUUUCCGCUUAAAGUAUUGUUUUACAACAGUUUCUUCAUGAGUAAAAGGCCUAGGGUAGAGAGUAUAAAUUACUAACGUAACAAAAGGAAUCACAAUGCUUUUACUCAGACUAAGUAAGAACAGGAGAUUUUUCAAUUUUUCAAAGUGUUGAUUAGAGGUACAAGAACAUGGCAUACGCAGAGUAGGAACAAAACUAUUACUCCCUCCGUUUCAAAUUAUAUGACAUUCAAAGUUUUGGCACUAGUAUUAAGGAAUGCAAUUAAUUUGUUGAAUUUCAAAGAAAACAUUAGGUAACUUCCUAAUAUAUCCUUUAUCUUUCUAAUUAAUGACUCAUUUACUAUUCCUAUACACUACUCCAACUAAGUAUUGGUUAAGGAUAAUCUUGGAAAAAAGCAUUUGAUUAGUUUUGUAAAACGACAUAUAUUUUGGAACAAACAUUUUUCUCUAAAACGUCAUAUAAUCUGGAAUGGAGGGAGUAUCUUAUAAGAAAAGUAGAAGUAAAAGAUUUCAGUAGAUAAGAGAUCAAUGAGAGAAAGUAAUGCACCUCAUGCAAUAUAAACAUAAAUGAUAAUGCAUACUUUGCAUCUUAGAUAAUCAAGCAUGUACCUUCAGUUAUAUAAUCUCCCAAAAACCAAGAUCCAUACAAGUUCUUAAACCACUGAAGUUCUAGAAGUAUUCCAUUUACAAACAGAUAUUGUGUUGCAUUACCUGUCAAACAAGUAAAAACAUAUGAAAAAGCCUAGAGAAAGAGAGAGAGGGAACAUUCAAAAGCCUCAAUAAGGUAUAAUUCCUUGAGAAAGAUUUAUAGCAAAGUAAUAUGAUUUUAUCAACAGAACUAUCAAAUUGAGAUAGACGAAUCUCAAUAAAUCAUAUAUUUAUAUACAAACAUAAAUAUAAAUAAGUAACAAAAGCAUGAUAAGAAGUACACAAAAUAAUGGAUACUCUUCAAAUUACCAGAUUUGGGAUGGCGGAGCAAUAUCAUCUGUCCCAGACCAUUUCGAUCAGUACCAGGAUCUGCACUUGCAGAAUAAAUAAUUAAAUAAAAUGCAUUAACACAACACAUGAUAGUAAAGUAAUGCAAAAAAAUAAAUCAAAAAUAAAAAGAUCUACAAACAGCACAAAUAACAAUCAGAAUGUGGUCAGAGAAGAAAAACAUAAAAAUUGAAAUAACCAAUCAGCAACUACACCUUACCGAUGCCACAGAGGCAUAUAUUAACCAUCGGAAACUAUAAAAUAGCAGCUUAUUUUCGUUCAAUUUAAUUUUGGUAUUGGUUUUCUGUUCAAAUGUUUUCUCUAAGAAGUGACUACAGUUUUUUAGACGGAAAUAAAUAAGAAUAAAAAAUGUUGUAAAUUAUGAAGGAGAUGUAAAUUUACCGGGUGCGACGAGAACCCGUGGUUCCAGAACGCCAUCACACCAACUCAUGGGUUUAGCAGAAGAGGAUUCAAAAGCCCUAACACUGCCAGUAACCGAUUGUUCCUUUCCCCGGUAACCGUAACUGCAACGGAAUACUGUUAAUUUCACAUGUAGAAAGAACAACAACGGAACAAAGAAAGAACGUUAUACUUUAUACAAGAAUAAAAAAAUAAAAAAGUAGGGCACUUACAUUUGAGAGUAGAGGGAGUUUACUCGGAAGAUAACGAAGGACGAGUGAGAGUGGCACUGAAUCUUGAAACGGAGCGCGGGCGGGAAUGUAAGAGACGCACAUACUCGCGCCAUUGCCUUCUCUCCUUAUCAGACACGGGCCUUCUAUAUACCAACCGGACCAAGCCCAAGGCCUUAGGGUUGCUUCAACCGGGUCCAACUUUUCCAUUUUUAUUUUUUUUAUUAAAGUACUUGAACGUCUUUUUUUAGGAGUCUAGACACAUGCUUCUUUUUUUUUUCUUCAUUUUUAAUUACUUGAAAUUAAUUUUAGAAUUUUAUAAUAACAAUUUUUUUUAUAAAAAUGUGGGUCAAAGAAAAAAAAUUACUUUAUGUUUAACAUGUUUUAGGAUAUUUUACUUUUUUUGCUUUAGUUGUCAUUUUAAAGUAUCAACGUGUAAUUAUAUUUUAAUUUUACCCUUAAUAAUUAAUUAAUUUUUAAUAUUUAUACAAUGUAAUUUUUUUAGUAACUAUCAUUUUAUCUCAAUAAAAUAAUUUCAUAAAAUUGCUUUAUUCAUUCAGGUUAUUUCUUACUUUAUUAAUCCUUUUGUUAAAACCUUUAACAACGUUUGAAAAGCAACAAAGCAAGUAAUAGUGUCAGUUUCAGAGUUUUCUUUUACAUAACCAAAAAAGCAAGUAAUAAUGUGAUUUAAAAAUAUAUAUAAAUUUCAAAUAUUUUUUCUGAAAGACAACCAUAUUCGAAUCAACUAAGAUUAAUCCUAGGAUCAUGAAAAAACGAAACUAAUAGUGUCCAUUCAAGAAAUUCACCAACCAUCAUUCAUCAACAACAAUAAUAAUUAAAAUUGAAAUCAUAUUCAUCUGUUUCUUCUUAUUUACCACCAUUAUUUAGGUUCAAAGUUACAACACCCAAGAUAAGAAUCAUGUAUAUUAAAAUGUAUUUGUAUUUUUAAUAUAUGAUUUUGGCAAUACAUACAUUAUUAUUUUUUUUUUAGAAUAAAAUAGUAAUUAGUAUAUAUUGCAGAAACAAAUAUAAAACUUUUUUUGUGUGAGAAAUAAAAAGAAGUGAAGAUGUUGAAGACAUCCCAUUCCCAGAAAAGAUUUGUUGAUGAAUUAAUUGAGAGAGAUAGACAAGUGAUCCGAUGAGUAGGAAUGAUCCCCUUGAGUUCCAUUAUCAGUCUCCUUCAAGUCCUCAAUCUUGGCCACAGCCUCCCUCCAAUCCCACCUAGUCUCCAAAGUCCAUUCACAGCACCCCAUCCCAAUCCUCAACAGCUUCAGCAUCUCACCCUCUCCACUCCCUCUCCCAGGAAUCUCCUUAUCAAGCACCUCCCCGCUCCACCCUUCCCUCACUAUCGACUCAACCCACGACGCCAAAUCCUCGCUCGCACCCUUCCCGUGCCUCAGAUAAUUAGCUGGAAACUUCCCCGUCAAAAGCUCCAAUAUCAGAAUCCCCAAACACCAAACAUCACUCUUCUCGCUGGGCCUCUCCAACUGCCUCACCUCCGGAGACUUGUACGCCACCAUGAACUGCUGCGCGUGCCUCUUGUCCACCACUGCCGCCAGCCCGUACUCCGCCAAACGAGCCUCGAAUGAAUGGUCCAACACUACGUUCGACGAUUUUAGAUGACCGUGCGCUAAGUCUUGCUCCGGGAACUCUCUGUAGAGGUAUCCUAAUCCCCUUGCCACUCCUUUUAUGAUCCUCAAACGACUUCCCCAGUCCAACACACAACCACCUCUGCCUACAAGUCCAUAAUCAAAUUAAUGCCAACUCUUUUAGAAAUACUUCUACAUCAAGAAAAUCAAAAAUAUAAUAAUAAAAUAUUUUUUUCAUAAAUUAAAAUAAACUCUUGAUUACUCAAUCAGCAAUCAUUAGAAAUUCUCUCAGUUUUUUUUUUUAAACAAAUAAGAAGAUAUUUACAAAUUAGUUAAUUAUUAGCUAAUAAAAAAUUUAUUUUAAUUUAUGAAAAAAAUCAUUUUAUCAUUUUUUUUUAUUUUUUUUUCUCCUAGAAGUUUCUUUUGGGAGAAACUUACCCAAACAAGACAUAAGACUUAGGACGAAAAAAAGAAUUGCCUAUCAACAAAAAGUUCAAAAUUUAGGGAGUAAAGUCAUAUAUGUAAUAAAGUUUCAUAAAUAAAAAUAUAAGGCUUAAAUAUUCUUUAGGUAUAUGAUAAAUAAAUAAUUAUUAUUUUAGGUUUUUAUUAAAAUAAAUCUUUUUGUUAUAUUAAAUACCUAAUAUAUCAAAAUUUUUAUUUAGAGUUUCUAUUAUGAAUUAAAUGAUCGAUAUCGUUUUAAUAUAUUAAUCAUGUACAAUGAUUAAGAAUCUAAAAAAAUAAGUUAUUUACUUAAACUUAAAACAUAUUUUAGCUAAAAUAUAAUUUAUCCAAAAAGUUAUAAUGUGGCCGUACCAUGAAGAUGACUAGCCAAACUGCCAUUUUCAGCAAAGUCAUAAACCAAAAGCUUCUCUUCUCUUCCAUAGUAAAAUGCAACAAGAGGAACUAGGUUGGGGUGUGACAACCUUCCAAGCCUUCUCAUGUGCUCAAAGAACUCUUUCUUUCCAACGUUGUUCAUGUGCUUGAAUCUCUUCACCACCACAGCUGGUCCGUUCAGAAGCAUGGCCUUGUACGUGGAUCCAAAACUGCCACUCCCCAGAACCUCAGCUGAGGCUCUAAGCAAGUCUUGCAAGUCAAACUCCUCCCUUUCGUUCCUCACGAAGCUCAAACUUCCAUCUUCACUUUUCUUGGACUCGGCUGCCAUUACAAUGGAUUUGGACUCACUAGAAACUGGACUCAUAACGUUCUGGGGUUGUGCAUCCGUGACCAACACGGCUUUCUUUCGACGGUAACGGAUGAACACAAGUGCUAGUAUUAAAGCCAACACAAUCACCGCCACCACUACGAUAACGAUUAAAAGGAUGCGGUUUUUUUUCUGUUUUUUUUCUUGAUGUGAAAGAGUUGAAAUUGGGUUUUGAUCAGAAGGUGAGGGAGGGCUUCCGACGCAAGGGGUUAGAGGUUUCCCACAUAGACCUUGAUUGCCUGUUGCACUAGAAAAAUUAGAUAAAAAAACAUGUAUCUAUGAUGACCACUAGGAGGAAUAAGAGAAAAAAAACGUAAUAUGUAUCAUAGAUAAUCUUGACAAGUUUCUGAUCAUGGAUUGAUUAUUCAUUUACUGUUUGAUUCAAUUUUGCAUUCAAAGGCUGAAGGAGGAAUUAAUUAAUGAGUUCUUCUAAUUUGUUGGUGUAAAAGUAGUCAUUGUGAUAGUUAAAUUUCCUUGAUUAAGACUCCAACAUUUACACUGAUAUCAAAAUGUUAUUGGAUUUUCCAAAUAAGCCUAAAGUCAAUAGUAAACUGAAGGUUGAACAAACCGCGACGAUAUCACAAGAAAGUUUAUCUAUGAUUCAUAUAGUGAGAACUAGACGGGGUAAAGGGUUUGGUUUUUGCAAAGCAGUAGAUAUAGAAUAUGUUCAAAUUCAACAAUGAAUAUGUAUAUUUGUUUUAAUUAAUUUCAUUUAUGAUAUCACGAGUAAAAACAAAUAAAAACUAGGUGUAUCUAUUGAGUGAGGUGGUUUUCAGCUUACCAGCAAAUGAGCUUGGAUCCCUGUUGCUUAAGCUUUCUGGUAUUGGACCCUCUAAGUGGUUGUGAGACAAAUUAAACACUCUGAAAUCCCUCUGUUGAAAUUCUGGUAUAUUGCCAUUAAAGCUAUUUCCAUGUAUGUCCACAUCAUAAAGUUUAGGCAAUUUAACAAGGGAUGCAGGAAUAUGACCCGUGAACCCAUUUUCAGCCAAAAAUACUUUCCUGAGACGCUUCAUGCCUUCAAAAGCAUCAUCCGGAAUUUCACCAGAGAACUUGUUAUUGGACAGAAACAAUGCCCUUAAACUCACAAGCUUCUUGAAUGCAGGCAUUGGACCCUCAAAGUUGUUGUUUAUGACACUAAAACUAUUCAAAUUGGACAACUCAAGCAGCGUGUCUACGUCAAUAGUGCCACUUAGUCCCAUAUUCUCUAAUCUCAAGCCAUGAAAUUUUUGAUCGAAGCAUAAUAUACCAGUCCAGCUGCACAGACCAGUCGAUGGAUCCCCCCAGUUCUUUAAAGCAUCAGCAUUGGACAAGUUACUUUUGAAGUUCAUCAGAACUUGAGCAUUGUCGGCCAAUGAUGGCAAAAAACAAGUGAAGAGCAUGAAAAGACAGAAAUAUUCUCUUUUAUGUGGCAUAAUACUUUGAAGAUGAAAACUGAAACGGGUUUUGGUUGGUGGGUUAGGAAGUAUAGAGAGUGAGGAAAAUUGAGAAAUGAUAGGCAUUAUGUGCAUAAGAAACUAAUCAAACUAUGACUUAAUGGUUUAUGGGGUGACAUUGACAAAGACAAGAUCCUUUUCACAAUGUAUGAGCUGGUUAGGCCGGCCUAUGUAUAAUAUGAGUGUUUGGACUUCAUUUCCAAAGAUACUUUUGUUCAAUGGUUAUUUAUAUGCUGUUUGUGGUCUGGUUAAAGGCUGUCUUUUCUUGUUAAUGGUGAGGGUGAUGCCUUCUGUCAUAUUGAUAGUCUCUAAAAAUAAGUUUAAUAACAAUUUUAUGUAACUUUUAUUUGUCUGAUGUGCUUGUUAUGAUCUGAAUUUGCUAAACAAGAUGCAAAGAGAUUGAAAUUUACUCAUUAUGUUUUUAUUUCUUUCCUUUUUGUCUUUCUAACUAAAAGAUGAGUGAUUAAAUAUUCUUUCCUCAAGUUGGUUUUUGUUGUUGUUCACAUGCCAUUUUUUAACUGGAGAGAAAAUUAGAGAAAUGAACAAGAAAUGAGGUCAAAUAAUUUGGCUCCCAUGAAAUGGUUGGAACUUGUAUCCUAAGUUUCCUUUUCGGAGUCUGUGCUUUUAAUUAUUAGCAUUAAUGAGAUAUUAACAGCCACCAAUAUGUAGAGCUAGAUAUCCUUAAAUUUGAGUUUAUUAUACUUGCGUACAGUCUACUAUCACAAACUUCUCGUUUAUUCCAUGUAGAAAAUGUUAUAUUAAGGUGAAAGUAUGAUCUUACUGUAGUUUUGGAGAGUUUAGUUGUUUAAUUCUUUUUUUAACCAAUAAAUAGCAUGGAUACUUGAUCAUUAGACUUUGUUUUAUAUUAUAAAGAAAACGGGAAAAUGGUAGAAAUUAAAUACAUUCAUGCAUAUUUGAUUCCAUUUAUUUUUAUGUAUCCCUUGAGUCUUGACUGAGGUUUUGAAAUAUUAUAGCAAUACCCGUGCAUCAGCAUGAAUUCCAGUGACCAAAUAUUGAAAAUAAUCAUUGUUUGUAGAAGGAUGAGUAAAGUGCUAUUGAACGGGAAAAUAAUUUGAAAUAACAUGUCAUAUGAUAAGAGGUUGGACAGAUUUAUCAAUACUAUUAAUAUUGUAAUCAUUUGUAUUAUAGCUAUAGUUAUCUUAUAUAUAAAAAGGUAUUUUAGUAAGAAACUAAUUUUAAUAAUCAAAGUUAAAUUAUUGUCACGAUCAAUAAAAAAUAAAAGAAAAUAAAAUUGGCGAGGCAAAGCGUGAUUUGUUGAAGACUAUAGCCUGUCAUCGACUAAAUACUAAUAUACUAUUAUAAAAUCCAUCAUUUCUCAUUUUUGUUCCCAGACGUGCCAAAGACAAACCAAAAGCUCAUUAUCAAAAAAAAAAAAAAAAAAGACAAACCAAAAGAAAGUAUAGAUAUAUUUUUAAAAAUCCGACACUUAUUUACCGUCCAUUUAGCAGUUGAAAUAAGUCAAGUUAGGUCUUAUUUAAUUCUGAUCUCGUCUUUUUGUUUAAGUUAGGUCUUAAAUUAAAAAAAAAUAUUCAAGUUUUAAAAUCAUCAUCUUUUUAAUAUUUUUUAAUUUUAUUAAAAUAUUAAUAAAAUAUAAAAUCUGUGCAUAUAUUGUAUGGGUUAAAUUACUACUAGUUAAAUUAACAUUUGAAUAUUUCAUGUUUUUUUUUUACCACAGGAUCUAUCAUCUAUGUAUAUCUUACUUAUGACAGAGGAAUCAAAAGGGGUCCAAAAAAGCUCCCUCCCACACAUAACCCACUCCUUUUUCAAUUUCGAGGCCCGAUAACAAACUACACAUUUAGCUCUUAAACGUCCUUUAUUCCUGGCUUAACCUGCAACCUAAAAAAUUCUCAAAAGACAAAAAACAAGGUUUAUAUCCUUUUCUUUCUGUGUUCCUUUUCUCUUCAUUGUUCGUACAUUGAUUAUAAUUAUAUCUACUUAUUAUAAUAAUGCUACAAUAAUUCUCUCUAAAAAAAAGCUACAUUAUUUUUCAUCUUCGAAAGUAAUAAAAUAAAAAAUAAAAUUCAUUAUAUUUUUUCUAACUUUGUUUAGCCAAUAAAGAGUUAAAAUAAUGUACUGAUAUGGGCAUACAAACAACAUAACCCACGGUUGAUAUACAACUUAAUUUGUUUGCUCCCCGUUUUAUUCCUUUUACUUUUAUUUUGUUAUCUUGCUUUUCUAUCCACUUAAAACUAAAAAAAUAAAAAUAAAACCUUUUUUUCAAAUAUAUUAAACAAGUCAUUUUAAUUAAAUUAUAAAUUCUUAACUAACUUAUAGUUUUAUUUAAAUAAAAUAAAAAUAAUCAAUAAAUAAUUUUAUCUCAUUAUUUUGUAACAUUUAAAAAAAAUCCCGUUCGAAAAAAUAUGAGUUUUUACCUUCAUAUUAUUUUUUCUUUUUCAUUUUCAUUUUCAGUACUUGAAUAAAAAAAUUCAAGGAAAAUUUAGAUAAUAGAAAAGACCAAUUAUAAAAAUUAAAGUUUAUUUAAUAAACAUAUAAUUAUUAAUUUCAUACAAAAUAUUUAUAAUUAUAUUUAAAAAAAACAAUUACAGUAUAAAACAUAUGAUAAAAAGAAACAUAUUUUCUCGUUGGACAAAUUAAAUAUUUUUUAAGACUCAAUACUAGAAAUGUCAUGUUGCAUGUCACCAAUACUUUCCUAUAAGCAAUGACAAUAGGAAUAAAAGUGAGAGAAGAAAAACAAAAACAAAACUUAUCCUUUAACAUCACUGUAUAUAUUUUAAUUAUUAUAAUGUUUAAUAAAAAUGUCUUUAAACAACAUAUUAUAAAAGUUCAAGAUUAACUUAUAAAACAAAUUAUAUUUUUUAAAAAAUAUAUAUUUUAUCGUUUAUACUAUUUUACACUAUUCCAAACCCAACAACCUUUAAUUCAAAAUAAUUUUUGUACUUUUAACAAACUUUUUUUAACUUGAAACUAACUUAUUUACUAUGUUAAUCAUUGUUUUCUUUUUCAUUGCUGUUUCUCUGCUCAUACACCGGAAGGUUGUCAAAAUAACAAAACACACUGACAAACUCGUUGCUCUGUUUUCCCCUCUCUGUUUGUCUCUGUCUCUCACUAUUCAGAACAAAACUAACAAUGAACCCCUCCACAGAAUCAGACAACGCCAUUAUCAUCGACAUCGAUUCCUCUGUCAAAACCCCAUCAUUUGUCGAAAACCACCCCAACGAAGAAAAACACCAACUCAAUGUUCCCUUCCUCCUCCAACCAUCUUAUGCGACACACGAACUGCGAAACCUUCGCACGAGCCUCAAAUGGUGUGCUCUCGACCACUCUUCCCUCGUUGGAAAACUUAUUUCCUACGUUGUCUUCAUAUUCCUCACCGUUGCUGUCCCUCUCUUCACUUCUCUCUUCGUUCAUGUCCCUGCCUCUGCUUCUCAACUCUACCCUUUCAACUUCAAGAAGCUCCUUCAAUUACCGCAAUCAGCCCUCGCUAUUAUCGCCUUCUUCACUCUCUACCGUUUCUUCCCAAGGUACCAAACAAAAGUCACAUCAUGUAAAAACAAAUGCGUAGGGACUUUAGCAUAUAUUGACACCUCACUUUCUUUCAAUUAGUGUUCAUAAUUCAGUAUUUAACACAAAGUUAUUUUAGUUUAAUCAGUAGUUUCAAAUUCAAGUUUUAAGUAUGUAGUUGUCUUAGGUAAGUAGUUGUUUUAAAUACUCCAAGAAAAAACUUUGUAGCUCGUAAUGGUCAUACUUGACUCGCACAGGAUUGACUCCUAAAUAGGAUGUUUGUGGUGUCAUAAAAGAACCACACACACCAUCUCAUAUUUACAUUGUGUUUAUCAUUUAAUUAAAGUUUAUUCCACCUUAUCUUCAUUAUAAUUCCAUUCCAAACAAUUAGAAGGUACAAGAUGAGUAUUUCAAGUUCAUUUCGCCUGUAAUUGAUUGUUGAAACAUUUCUUUGACAAAUUGUUAUCGUAACGGAAUUUUCAAUCUAUGCAUGAGUUUGCAGGCAUGGGCUUAGGUAGCUUCUGUUCCUACUUCCUAGAUGUGUUACAAGAUGACUCAACGUAUGUUCGACGUGGGUACACGCGUGAGCUUCAGAAAGCGUUCAGAUACUUAGCGUGCAUGAUAUUACCUUCCUUUUUCGUAGAACUUGUUCACAAAACCAUCUUCUUUUCUAGCAUGGAAAUUUCUGUCCCAUGUGGGACCCCCCUGAACUGGGCUGUGUUUGUUUUAGUCUUGGUUUCCUGGGUUUACAGAACGGGGUUGUUCUUGUUGGCGUGUGUGCUUUUCAGGCUUAACUGCGAGCUUCAGAUACUGAGGUUUGAAGGGCUUCACAAGCUCUUUGAAAGGUGUGGGUCUGAUGCAAACAUGACAUUUAGAGAGCACGUGAGAAUUAGGAGGCAAUUGUGGAUCACGAGUCAUGGGUACAGGUUCUUUAUAAUUAGUUGUUUGGUGACAGUCACGGUUAGCCAGUUGGGUUCUCUCUUGAUGGUUUUGGAAUCCAAAUCUGACACCACCUUCUUCAAUUCCGGUGACCUUGUGGUAAAGUUAUUGCUUCACUUCGAUAGAUUUUGCUCUUUUUGUAUUCUUACGUGGUCUUUAGUCACAACUAAUUUUUAUGUGAAAUGUAUCUAAGUUUUUUAAGGGAAAUUCUCUUUAGCACAAAUUCGUACUAGUAUGAAAAAACUUGUAAUCCCACUCCGCCUUUGAUUUCUGUUAGAGGUUUAGAUUUUAAAUUUCUAAUUUGAAAUUAACCAAAAUGAUUCAUGCGCCUUUGAUUUCUGUUAGAGGUUUAGAUUUUAAAUUUCUAAUUUGAAAUUAACCAAAAUGAUUCAUGCGAUUCAUUUUCGCACUAAAUAGCAUAGCUGGUUUUUUAAUUUACAAUAUUUGAUUAUGUAUUAUGUAGAAAUUAAUCCGGACCAUAACAGUUCUACGCCAUCUAAUAAUUUACAGUCAAUUACAGUGUUUAUUAUAAUUAAGAUUGUCGAUUGAUUUGUGUUAUGCAGAUUUUUUUCGGCUGUGCAAUUAUGUGGAUUCUUCUUUAUGCCUUAUGGGUGCGGCAAGAAUCACACACAGAGCACAAGGGAUAGUGUCAAUUGCCACAAAGUGGCACAUGGUGGUGACCAAUGCAUCUGUUGAAUCUGAACAAUGGAAAACCCAAAUGCCAGAGGGGGUACCCAGUCCUGCUGCCAGUAGGGAUUCGGAUUCUUCGGACAUAUGCAUAUCAGUAACCCCACAACGACCUUCUUCUUUCCAAACCAGGCAAGCUUUAGGUGAGCAUUAUCUCUAAUUUAAGACAUAAUUAAAGCUAUUUAUAAUAGUAAUGUUACUGGGAUAUCAAACAAGUAGAAUUUGUUGUCAAUAAUAGUUUUAUCUUAUUCAAACAUGAUAUACCUGUGAUAUAUAUAUAUAUAUAUAUAUAUAUAUAUAUCAAACAGUACUUGGUCAUUGGUCACCAAUGUAACACACUCUUUCCAAUUCAAUAUCAGGUGUUAGACGAAGUUUACGUGGGUUUCACUAAAUAAUGAAAUUAAACUCAUUAUACAAGAAUGAAACUCGGACCAUUUACUAGCUCACAUAAAUUUUAUCUGAUAGGAAAGAGUGUAUUCUAAAUAGUGUGUUACAAAGUGUCUUGUUAAUAAUAUUUUUAAACGUAUAUUUGGUUUUGGUUAAGAAAGUAGAUUAACUUCUGCGCAAGAACUGAAAUGAUGCGAAGUUUUGUCUUCGAUUAUUGCAGUGACGUAUUUGCAGCACAACUAUGGAGGGACAACACUAUUUGGGUUUGUGCUUGAUCGAGGGUUGCUUCAUACUCUCUUUGCCUUUGAGUUCUCUAUGGUGCUUUGGAUUCUAAGUAUGGUGGCUGUCUGGUCUUAACCAAAUGAAGUGCAGAAAAUGCCUUGCAUGAACCGAAUGUGUAUGUAUAACUAUGUAUAUCAUAUAUUUUUUUUACUGCAUAUAACCGUAUAUCAUCGUAGCUUAUGUUUUAUUCUUUUAAUUAUUAUAUUCACUCAUGUAUGUAGAACUAGAAUUCGUUAUUUUGGAAGGAGAUUAAUAUUUUUGGUGUACUUUCCAAAAUGAUUUUUUAUUUAUUUUUUAAACUAAUCAUGUAUAUUUUGCAAUAUUUUUAUUUUAAUGUUAACUUUUAUUUAAAAUUGAUUUGCAUAAGUUUAUAAUUUUAAACAAAUUUCUUUAAAUAAAUUGUAACUAAUCAUCUGUGCUUGUUUGUGCUUAAUUUGGUAUGAAAUAUUCAAAUAUAAGAUGGGUCCAUGGGUCCAUGUUAUAGUAAAUUCACACAAAAUAGGGAUAAAAGAUGUGUGAAAUUAGGAGUUUAAGCAGGUUGGUUUCGAUUGAGUUUGGUCAAAUUUAUCACUUAAUCCAAUCAUAUUUGAAUGACUUGAUUUGAAUCGAUUUUUAAAGAAGAAAAAAAUAAAACUCAACCCAUUAAUCUAUUUGUAAACUAUUUGGAUUGGAUUGGGUUAUCUAGUUAAAACAUUUAAUUUUGUUUAUUUUUUUAACACUAUUUUUUAUGAGCUAAAUUUUUUAUUAAAUAAAUCAGGCACACAGUUGUUUCUUAUUAGAUUUUUUAUUAAAGAAAAUUUUGUAAUGUUGUCACACCCCACUUCACUAACUAUUUAUCUAUAUAUGGGAAAUGAGAAAUUAAACAUUCCAUAUUUGAGAUAAAGAGUUUCAAUAAACAUAGUGGAAAUGAGUUUCAAAUACUUUUUUUCUAGCAAAAUCAAUGAAACAUUACAAGACAUACUCUUUGUAAAUAGAUUCAAAAUAUUUUUAGAAACUCAUCUGAAAUAUUUUAAUAAAUAAAAUUAGUAUCGCUUUGAUCUUGAAGGUUAAGGAUGUGUUGAUACUUAUUCAGGUUGAUAAGUUUAAUCAAUAGUCAAUAAUAUUUAACUUUUUAAAAAAAAUUAAAAAUAUAUAUUAUAUAUUACAUAUAAUAGUAAUAAUAAAAAAAAUUUAAUGCAAAUUAACGGGUCAGUGGAUUUAGAUAUUAAAAUCCAUAAUCCAAUCUAAAAUUCAACAAGUUUAAUUGAUUUAAUUCGAGUCUGAUCCAAAUAUAAAAUUUAUUCAACUCAAAUUAUUUAAAUCAACUUGAAUUCGUCAAAUGAGACUCAUUUACACCCCUACUUGAAAUGAACAAUAAGGCCAUGAAGAGUCGAAAAGGAAAAUUGAGACAAAUAUGAUCCGUGAGUUAUCUUUUGCUUUUGAAUUGAUUUUGGGUAUAUAAUCGAUUAUAUGUCAUCAACUUAAAAUGUGGAGGAUAAGCAUGGCAUAUUUUGUCUAACAAAAAAAAAGCUUGGCAUAUAAUUGAUCAUGUUGCCUUUGAAAAAAUAUAUCUUAACUUAAAAAAAAACGGACACUUUAUGUUUUGAACAAAGGUAAAAUGUUUACAUGUGUUUAGAACAAGUUAAAUUCAAGUCAUAACUUUUAUAUAUUCAACUAUUAAUUAGCAGACAACGGAUAUUUUAUUUGCAAUCUUUGUCUCUCUUUAAUUGCACUCUUCUUCUUCUUUCCUUUUUUUUUUUUGUAUUUCCAUUGUUUAUAAUUUAAAUAUAAGCAAUUAUAUUCAAGAAUCAACUCUCACUUUCCCAAAAAAAAAUUAAAAAAAAUCAAUUAUCUUGAAACUAUAAUACAAUAUUGAGGAUCCAUUUAAAAAUAUUUUAUUUCCUUUACAGCUAAUUUUAAAAUAUAUCACAAUAUUAAUAAUUUUGCUUUAUGUUUAUUGUUAGCCAAAUAGCCACUUUGCUCCAGACCAUGACGCACCCCGUAUUCGCAAAACUAAAUGUAAGUUAUAAUUCAUUUUAAGAAGAAAAAAAACGCAUAAUUUUCGCUUUACCUUAAACUAUUGAUCUAAGCUCCGUCCUCAAGUUUCAGUGGGUUCCAAAUGGAGUUUUCCUCCAACUUCAAUUGAAUAUAUAUAUAUAAUGACAAAAAUAAAAGAACUCUGGCCAUUUUUACACACCAGCCUCUCCGGUCUUUUCUAUGUGCACGACGGCGCCAUUAUAAAAUAGAAAAAAGGUUCCAUCUUAAUAAAUCCUCUUUUAGGAGUUAAUUUAAUUUAAUUAACAUGUGAUCCAUGUUCUAAUGGUGACGCGAAAUAGUGUAACAUUUAAUUGUGUUUAGAUAAAUAUUGGUAAAGUUAAUUUUAAAAUAACAUGAUUUAUAUUUAGAUGUUUUAUUAUAAAAUUAAAUUAAGAAUAAAAUUUAUUACAAAAUAUAAAAUGCAACACAAAAAAUAUUUUAAAUUGUUUCAACCUAAAAUCAAUUUCUGAUACAAAAUUAAUUCCUAGUCCCAAAUGAAACAAGCACUCGUUGGACUCUGGUCAGUUCAUUGUAUACGACGUAGCUCACUCGCGGGAUUAUAGUCUGAAAAACGUUUAGAAAGACUAUGUACUCGAAACCUUGAAAAAAAGAAAUUCAACAUUGACUAAAGAAAAAUAUACCUAGCAAUUUUCAAGACCACGUCGGUCGUCAAACAUCGUAUUCGGGCCACUUCUCGUCUUUGACCAUAUCAUUGAUUACCAUCAAAGUUAAAAUAAAAAAUAAAUCAUCAUCAAGAAUUUUAGGUAACCCAAAUUUCUCUGUGCUUUUUUAUUGAAGAUGGUGAUUGGCUUCUUGCUUGGUGUGAUAAAUUUAUAGCGUGGAAAGUUCCAAAAUACAAUUUUAGUAAAAUACUAUUUGUUUGUGUGAAAUCUUCUUUUAAGUUUCUUCAUUUUUUUUAUAUUAAAAUUGGUCUUAAUUUUUAUAUUUAAUUGGUUGAAUUAGUCUCUCAUCCUAAGUCUAUUAACCUUGUUUGUUGAUGCCACUAAUGACUGAUACCCGAAAGUCACAUGACACCAGAUACCAAUUUUAUCAUAUUUUAAAAAUACGAUGAUUAAAAUCACAAUUAUUAUAAAUAUAAAGAUUAAAAUAAUUUUUUCAAAAUUUUUGAGAACCAAAACAUAUUUUAUACUAAUAAUAAUAAUAACAAUUUCUUAAAACACUUAUCAAAAGUUUUUAACAUUGAGUAAAAUUUAUAUGAAUCCUAUUAAUUAAGAAGUGAGAUUCAGAUUAUCUAGUGGGUCUGGCUUAUACACAUUUAACAUUCCGAUUAAUAAUAAAGAGUAUGUAAUUAAUGUAUUUCAGAAGUAACAAUAAUAAUAAUAAAUGUUAGUAAUACAUUUUAAUUCAUUUUUUAUUUGACAAAUGUUAAUAAUUGUUUUAAUGUGAUUAGCUAAAAAAUUAUUUUUAAAAAUAUUAUAAAAAAUACAACUCAUUUCAUAUAAUAUCAUAUGAAAACAAUUUUUCUUCUUUUAUUAGUUUCCUAGUAAAAUAAUAUGUAUAGUCAUUUUACCAGUGGCCUUAUACACAUUUAACAUUUCAAAUAAUAAUAAAAAAACAUAUAGUUAAUGUAUUUCAGAAAUAACAAUAAUCAUGAAAAAUACUAAUAACACAUUUAAACUCAUUCUUAAUUUGACAAAUAUUAAUAAUUAUUUUAACGUGACUGCUUUAAAAGAAAUAUUAUAAAAAAAACUCAUUUCAUAUAAUAUCGUAUGAAAUCAAAUUUUCUUCUUUUAUUAGUUUCCUAAUCAAAUAAUAUGUAUAGUCAUUUUAUUACCCCCACCCCACCACAACACAUACACAAAUUUCAUGUCUCUAUGAGAAUGACAUGGUUUGAGUGGGCUAAUAGGGGCUUGACACAUUUAAUUGAGUCUUUACUUACACUAAUCAUGAUUUGUGUUUAAUUUUUUCUAUUGAUAAUAACAAGUGAUAUGUGAGUUUCACUAUCAAUUCUUAUAAGAUUGGUGUGUCUUUUUUGCCCUUGUAAAAGGGUGUGUCUUUUUUAUAAUCUAUUUUUUUUUAUAACAAACAACAAUGAUUUUGAUGAAUUUCAUUCCUUCCUAUUUUCAAUCCAUCCAAAUAAAAAAAAUAUCAUUUUUCUUAUGCAUUUCUAUCCUCUCUAAUUCCAUCAUCCCUAAUUCACCAUGCCCAAACAAGUUAGGGCAAUGACCUCUUCACAUUUCAUGCUAUUCAUACAUUUUUUUUCUAACAAAAUAAAUUACAUAAUAUUACUUUUAAUUAUAUAAUAUUUUAAGUAGUUAGAGAUCAAGUUACUCAAAUAAUAACUCUAAAAAGAGUUAUUUUUCAUUUCCUAUCUUUAUUUUCUUUUAAUCUAACAUUUUUAACCAAUAACUCUUAUUUGAGUGCCAAAUUAAAAGAAAAUAAAAGGGAAAUGUGAGGAAUAAUAUUUCUACUAAGAAUAAUUUGACAAUUUUUUUUAAAAUAAUAUAAUAUGUAAGUUUAGCUAAUAGUUUUUAAAUUAUGAUAAAUAUUUUAAAAAAAUAAAAAAUAUCAAAUCAAAUCACAACCGAAUCAAGUUAAUCCAUUUAUUUAUUUUAUAUUUGAUUUAGAUGAUUUUUUUGUCUAAUAAUCAAAUCAAAUUGCCCUACCAACAUCCAAAUUUACCACAGUGACAAAAAAAAAUAUAUUAGAGAAAAUAAGGAUUGUUUGGUUCUCAUUUUAUUAUUUUUUAAAAAAACUCCACCUCUAACAAUUAAUUUUUUACCUAAACUAGUAUAAUAUUCGUUAUGAUCCCAAACACGUUUGAAAGACAAUGCAUGAAUCAGGACGGAUUGAUAUCAAAUGAACGCAAAACAAAUUAUUUUGAAAGAAUUUUGUGAAACUUUUUAGAACGUGAAAGAAUGGGAAAAAACAAAAUAAAAUUGUGAGACAUACUGCCAAUCUCAAUCCGUUGGUCUCGGAGGAAAAAUUGAAAAGGAGUGAGGGAAUUAUAUUAAAUUAUUCAUACUUUUACUAUAUAUAUAUAUAUUACAAAUAAAAAAGUGAAAAGAUAUUUUUUUUUUUCAGUUUUGUUGUUAUCAGACAAUACAGGUAAUCAUCUUACUUUUAAAUAUAUUCUACCUUAUACAUAGAACAUUAUUAAAUAAUUAAUAAAUAAGAAUUUUCUUUUUAAAAAUCACGUUAAAAUAUAUUAAAAAUGCAUUGGUAAUGUUUUUUAAAUAAUUUUUAAUUUGAUAAAUGUUAGAAACACGUUAUUUAUAUAGUUUUUUUAAAACAUAAAUUUAUUAAAAUUUACAAAAAUUAGUGUCGCAUUCCAUUUAAUGAAUUUAUUUAUUAAUUAUUUACUAGUAACUUUUUUAAAAAAUUAACUAAUAAAAAAUAGUAUUUAAAAAGAGUGUGUUAAGUAGUACUUCUUACUGUUCAAUAAUAAAAGUCGUAUUAAAUUUAUUUACUUAAAUACAAAUUUAAUAAAUAGAUGAAAAAAAUAACAAUUUUAUAAAAAUAAUCUAAUAAUUAUUAUUUUGUUUAUAAUUUUUAUCAUUCAUGACUAAUACUAUAAAAAAAUAUAAAUAAGAACAUAAAUUAAUAUUAUAUCAAAAAUUAAAAUAAUAUUUAUUUUAAUAUUUCUUUUACACAACACAUACUGUAUUGGUUACUUAUACAAGAAAUUAUUUUUAUUAUAAAAAAAUUCAGAAUAUCAAAUAGUUUCUCUCCAAUGUGAAAUCUCCCAAAGAAAUAAUUUAUUCUCUUAAAAAAAACCCAACAAAGACAUGCUCACCUCAUAUACUUUUUCCUUUUAUUGUUCACCACCAACUAACUACCUAAUCCUAAUCCUGCUACACGAUUCUGAAUGGAAGGUAAAAAGCAUGCCAUAGAAUUUAACACGAGUCAUCAUCUCAAAUUUCCAAUUGUGCUGGAACCUAAUUAGUACUUACCUAACCAACAACUACAAUGUCCACAUUCAUUGAACCUAUUACAGUUUAGUCACUUUUUCUAAAUUCUCAUUCUAAUUCUUUCUCCAUUUUGAAUCUCAGGCUCGACUCAAGUGGUUCGCACAGAUAACGAUACCAAUCCCAUAUUGUCCAGGUUCAAUGUAUCUUCCUACUCCACAGAAUUCCCUUCUUCAAGAAUGACUCUUCAAAUCAAGCAGAUAAACUCACAAAUUACAACUUUAAAAAGUAGAUAAUCUUUUUCCACAAUCUGUUAUCUAAAACAAUUAUUUAGCCAGUUAAUGUAAUUAAUAUGUUACUUAAACAACAUAUUUUCAUUUCAUAGUGUCUUUCAAUUAAGAUAACUUGCAUUUUUAAAAAAUACUUAAGUGUUAGUAGUAUUAUUUUUAAUUAACUUAUUAAGACGAUAACUUCUUAAAAGGAUCAUUCUCACUAAAAAAAAUUAAAUUGUAGUUAUAAAUUUCUUUAAGUAACUAAUUUCCAAUACAGCAGUAGAGUACUAACUAGCCAUACCUAUUAAUUAAUGAUAAAUCCUAAUCAAUGUCUUUAGAAUAUUAAUUCCAAAAUUUUUAAAAAUAAAUUUUCCAGUUAAUGAAAAUUUAAGUUAUUUAUAAUUUUGUUUUUCUAUGAUCUUCAUAAUAUUACAAAUAUUUUUUUUAGUUUCUUUAUUAGUAUGAAAAAGAGGCACGUGAUAGACAUGUUGUGUUGUUGGAGGAAGCCGAAUCCGCGUGCCACCCCGCACACACCAUAAAUACAUAUCUUUCGUGUGCGGCAUUUCUCAAGCCAGAGAAAGAGAAGGAACCAACAACAAAGAGCAGAGAGAAAGAGAGGACCAUUCCAACCCUAAUUUCUCUGCUAAACCCUAGUUGUUUGGCAUUUCCUCUCUUCUCCCUCGUAAAUCUUCUCCCAUUCCCUCCGGUAGCUUUCCAGAUCCAAAUGUAAGAACCCCCUUUCUUUUUUAGGCAUUCUCGUUUUUGUGUCGGUGAUUUUUUAUUAGCCACUUAAUUUGUUUUUAUUCCGCAAUAAAACGCCCGAAUCUCUCAGAAUGUGGCGUUGAUUUGAAGCUUAGACAAUUGAUUUAAUUUAUUUUUUUUAAUUCACUUUAGUUUUCUUAUGGUUAUUUAAUCUUAUACAUUCAUUUUAUGAAUAUUCACUUAUGCUGCAUUUCUUUUCUCCUCAGAAAUCAUGGUUUUCUGGGUUUUUGGCUACGGUUCACUGGUGUGGAACCCUGGAUUCGAUUACGACGAGAAGAUUAUUGGUUUCAUCAAGGACUACAGACGCGUGUUUGAUUUAGGUAAGUCACGCGCCGGUGAAACUAUUUUGGCACAACUUCCACAGUUUCUUAGACAUGGCAUUUUAAAUUAUUUUUGCAGCGUGCAUUGAUCACCGGGGAACGCCUGAAAACCCAGCGAGAACUUGCACAUUGGAGGAGAAAGAAGGGGCUAUUUGCGUAAGUGCAUUGUUAUGUCUUUGCAGAACUUAAUUCUUAUAUGUUGAUUUGUUUUUCUUAUAAUUUCUCCGAUCUUUCUGCAGUGGGGAGCUGCUUAUUGUGUUCGAGGAGGCCCUGAAAAGGAAAAAUUGGCUAUGCAGGUAAAAUUAUUUUCACCUUACAGAUACCAAGCUAACUAUAAAUGUAACUUGUAAUGAUUUUUGGCUCUUAAUUGUGUGUGCCCUUUUAAAAUUAUUGUUGUGUUUUCAAUACGAUAGAUGCUUUCUAUUUUUGUUUAACUUGGGGCCAUUCGCUAAUAAUCUCUAUGAAGCCAUAUUUUUUGCCCUAUGAGGAGGAUUCUUUUUGCCUUUUGUCCACUACAAUCUUAUCUUGCCUGCCUCUAUCCAAGAUCAGUGGAUUAUAAUUCCACUUUUGCCUGUCUCUAUCCAAGAUCAGUGGAUUAUAAUUCCACUUUUGCCUGUCUCUAUGGUUAUUUCAUUAGUGAUUUCAGACUAAAUAUACCUUUUGGGCUUCAAUUGUCCACUCUUUUGUUGUUUAGUAUUUGGAGCGACGGGAAUGUGAAUAUGACAGAAAGACUCUUGUAAACUUCUUCAAGGUGAGUUACAUGCAAUUGUCAAGUUUAUUCUUUUCUUUCCAAUUACUUGCAAGUGAUUGUUAUUUUAAUAUUUAAUAUUCACUACUUCUAACUUGCUAUCUUAAUUUAUUUAUUUCUUCAGGAAGGAGAUUCACUGCAUCCUACUUUAACUGAUGUAAUAGUGUAAGUUAUUAUACAUUGUUUGUGAUUUUCUGUAGCUUAUUCAUACCUAUAUAUAAGUGUUUGUUUGGAAAUUUAUUAUUUUAACGAAAUAAUAGCUUGUUUUUCAGAAUUCCUGACGGAAAGAGGCAAAAAAUAUUAAAUAAGCUAUUAUUCCUAAAAUAAGCAAUCAAACAUGCACUAAGCUACACAAUUGGUAUGUUCGUACUUACGAGGACAAGUUUGCUAAUACAUAUCAUGUGAUGUCAAUCUACAGAUUCACAUCUACUCCAGACAAAGUGAACAACAAAUACUACCUGGGACCUGCUCCACUUGAAGACAUGGCUAGGUAUGUUAUUCUCCCCAUAUUUAUAUGUGGAAGUAGUGACCUAUCCUUCGGUUGCAUUAAUCUUUUCUUACUCGUUCAGGCAAAUAGCAACUGCAUACGGCCCUUGCGGAAACAACAGGGAUUACAUUUUCCUUCUAGAAAAGGCCAUGCAUGAUAUUGGUAAGUUAUCUCCUUAACAUACACAUACAUGUGCAGUCAAACAUUAUUCUUUGCAUGACACGAGCUUCGCAUUUAUAUUUUGAUGUGCAGGCCAUGAGGAUGACUUGGUGAUAGAGCUUGCCAAUGAAGUGAAGAAAGUACUUGGAGUGGGAAAUGUAGUACCAAAGGAGAAGAAACAGGUUGGAGCAGCACAACUUCCACACCCUCCUCAUGUGCCAAUCCCUACCCUUCAACUGCUCCCGCUGCCAGAACCUAUUGCUUUGGAUAGCUGACGCGGAAACUGACGCUGAGUUCGGCAACUAAACUGAUUUACUGCGGACCCUACUAACCCUAAUUCAAAUUUUAAAUAACAUCACAUAUAUUCCUCUUCGCCUAGUUUUAGCGGCUUCUUCAGCCAUUCCCUUGAGAUAUUGCUUAAAUUCAGUGAGGCGCAAUAUUUUGAAUUGGAAUGAAUGUUCGCAGAUGUUAUAAUUGAAAAAGUUCAAUUUUUCUAUUUAUUUCGUUUACGGCAAUCUUACAGAGUUUUUUUUUUCCACCAGUUCUGCAUCCCAAUCUUACGGAGUUAUUUAUAGCUUUUAAUUGCUGGUACUUCGAAAUGAAUAAUAUUACUUCUGUUUUGAGCAAAGUUCUUUUCUGUUUUAUUGGUGUUUGGUUUCGUCUUCUUGAUCCGUAUGGAUGGUGGAUUUAAUUUGUUGCUAUGCUAUCAUGGUAAAGCCGAAUCUGGGAAUCGUGAUAUUUUUUGGAAUAUUUGCAAUUUGUCAAUUCUGUCCGAAUAACAAAUAAAAAAAGUGUCAUACCGUGCUGCCAUUUUCAGAGUUAAUUUUGCAAUUUGUCAAUUCUGUUGUCAAAAUCAGUAUUUUUUUCUUAUGUAUUGAAAAUAAUACCAUGAUUUUUUAAAUAGUUAUUAUAAAAACCCUCUUAUCUCAAUAUGACAAGUUAUGAUAAACCUUUUUUUAUGUGGAAAAAUAGUAGAGAAAUACAUAUGUAACGCAAGUUCAUUUUUUUAUAAAGUAGUAGAAGAGAGUAAAUUUACCUAUUUAUUAUUAUAUGUUAGGAUUUUUUUGAUAAUAAAUGAAAAAAGUAUAGGAUAAAAUAACUUUUUCACACCAUUAUUUAGAUAUUUUAUUAUAAAAAUUUAUAAAGUAGUCGAAUAUAACAAGUGUCCAGACUUUUCAGGUUCAACAUUUGUUGUGUUUGGAUAGAAUAUUUAGAGGGGAUAAUGUAAUUUUUUUAGAGUAUUUGAAUUGAUACUAUGAAAAAUGUUCUGUUUGAAUAUUUACUUUCAGAAUUUCAUAAAUUCUUCAAAUUUUUAGUCCUUUUUUAAAAUAAGGAAUUUACAAUUCUAUUGAAAUAGGUGGAAUUUCAAAUUCCACCACAACGUUGAUCUCUACCAAUAGAUAUGUUUUAUCGAUGUACAAGUUCUGACAUCCUCAUCAUCACCGUCGACGAUGUUGACACGAAUCCCUCAACGUGGUGGUGUUGUGCCUCCUUGUCGUCAAUGCUAUCAGUGUUACAAAGCUUCAAACAUGGUUAAUGCUUGAUCUUCGAUCCAUCAAUGAGAAUAUUGCAGUAGUUAGAAUCUUGGACCAUUGUCGUUGAACAAGUUUCUAAGGUAGAAGGAUAUAGUGACGACGAAUCAAUUGAGUUUUGAAAGGAUGAGAAGUAGAUAUUAACCAAAUGAUCCACAUUAAAUUAAUGGUCCAAACAGAUUAUUUAUGCAAUUGAAUGAAAUUUGAUUUUCUUCAUUUAAAUUACUUUGCAUUUUAAAUUCUUUGUUAUUUUAAAACUUUCAAUCCAAACACACUGUUAAUGAAUUUUACAUUAUCUAGACAAGUCGAUUAAGCAUAAUAAGUGUUUACAUUUUUUAGGUUCAAUGCUUGAAGGAUUGUGAACUGUCCAAAUAAAUUGAUCAACAUAAUAAGGACUCACACCUUUUAACUUGGCGCUUGAUAGAUUAUGAACUUAAUUGUAUAGAUAGAUUGAACGUGACAAUUAAUCAUUCAAUUUAAGACAAUUGAGCCUUGACUAUUGAGUCCAGUCACAUUCAAUAAAUAAGUGUAACUCAUGUAAGCUACACAAAAGUUACUUGCUAGAGUUUAUUGAAAACUCCUUUAGAUGUUUGGGAGUGAUAAGUUUUCAUCAUUAUUUUAAAUUGAGUAGAAAAAAUAUAAUGCUAAAUAAAAUGGAAGAAAAUACAUUUUAUCAAUAUUCUUCUUCUUUUAAUCUUAUUUUAUUUUGAAUAAUAAUAAUUGAUAUUUAGUUUAUUCAAUAUAUUAUUUUUCAUUAAAUCUAACAUUUUUUUUAUUUGUGAGAAUGAAAGAUAGUGUAAAAAAAAAAAAUUAUGACAACUCAUGCAUACCAUAAGAUUACGUAGUAGAAAUAUGUUUCUUCCCUUUUUACUUUUUAAAGAAAAAAUGAGAUCAAACAAGACUUGAUAAUAUAACCUAUCUACAUCAAAUAAAAUUUUGAUAAAAGUUUAGAUAUAAUUGGAAUUUAGAUUAAAUAACUUUCUUAUAUACAUGAAAGAGGUGGAGUUGACUAAAUACAUGAAAUUAAGAAUUCAUUAUUAAAUGAGAAAAGUGUGUCACAUCAAAUUCACAUAAAUUAGGAAAAGAAAAAAAUUUAAAUAUAUUUUUCAUUCUUGUAAUUAAACAUUUUUUUGUUCUUAUAUUUUUUUAGUUCUUACAAAAUUAUCCUUAGAACAUGUUAGAUAUCAAUGUGCAUUGAACACUAAAAAAAAUAUUUUAAAAAGUAAAAAAAUGUUAUUUAAAGUGUUUUAAAGAUGAAAAAUAAAAUAAACAUAUUUGAUAAAGAUUAAAAUUAAGAAAAAAAAUUUAGGAAAGAAAAUGAAAACAACAUUUUAUUACAUUAAAAAAUGCAUUUAAACAAAAAAAGAAAAGAAAAAAAAUUGACUUCCAAAAUGGGAAAAGAAAAACUUAAGCAACAAGCUGGUCUGCUAUAAUAAGAAGAGCGAGACCUGCUUUCUUUUUCCAUCUUUUGCGUUAGGGCACUCAACAUUUUACACUCUUUUCUUCUUCUCGUUGUUGCUUCGCUGUUGAAUCAUGGAUCAGAAGGUCGAUUUCAGCGCUCCCCAUUCCAUGGGAACCACUAUCAUCGGCGUUACUUACAACGGCGGUGUCGUUCUCGGAGCCGACUCUCGAACCAGCACCGGUACACUCUCUUUCUCCUUUCCAAGCCGAUCCCAUAUUAAUUUAGGGUUUUCGUUUUUUCUUUUGUUUUGUUUUGACUGUUUCAUUCUCUGGGUAAUUACAAGCUUCUUGUUUAAGGAUUGAGAUUAGAUUCUCGUUGUUGAUUUGUGAAGUAAUUUAGUUGUUUAUUUUUUCCACUUUCAGGAGUGUAUGUUGCCAACCGAGCAUCGGACAAAAUCACUCAGCUCACUGAUAAUGUAUACGUGUGUCGCUCUGGAUCGGUAUUGUUCUUUUAAUCCUAUCACUCUUGUGUAAAUGCCAAAUUGUUGUGUAAUUAUGGUGAUUUGUUCCUAUCAUUAUUAAUAGCCUGGAUUUGAUUGCGUGUUACUGUUAAUUUGGAUAUUUGCUUUGCUGUGUCUGAUGCAAUUAUGCUGUUUCACUCAUAAUGUAUGGUGUUGGACAUCUUUUUUAAGGUUUAAAAAUAUAGGGUUUCAAAUGCAGUUGUUGUUAACUGAAUUUAUUGGCAGAGAAUGAGGCUUUUGGCUGUUUAGUAUCAAUGUUCCCCUCGAUUUCUUACAUAAUAUGUUGGUCAUUUUCAAAUUUUGCCCUUCACUAAAAGUAAUCUUAUCAAUGUGUGUGGAAUCUGUGGAUGACGAUUUGGUGAAGGUUCUGUUUGAACUCUUGAAACUAAUAAUCUAAUAUAUUAAUUUUUUGUUUGUUCUAGUCAUACGAGAUACUGAACAUACUGGUAUUAUAAUCUUGCAGAAGAUGACUAUGGAAUCUCUCAUACACUGUUAUUGUUUUAUGCCUUAAAAAUAACAAUCUGCAUUCUUUUUACAGGCUGCUGAUUCUCAGAUUGUCUCUGAUUAUGUGCGUUACUUCCUCCAUCAACACACGUAAGUGACUUUACUUCCCCUAUUAUAUACUAAUAGGGUAUUCUCUUCUGUGAAAUGAAGUUUUAGGCUAUGAUCUGGUGUAUAAAAUUGUGAGUUUCUAUUUAUGUAGAAUACAACUUGGACAACCUGCAACAGUUAAAGUUGCUGCAAACCUUGUCCGACUUCUCUCAUAUAACAAUAAGGUUUGACCUUAAGGCCUUUUCUUGGUAGUUCGAUUUGCAUGGUUGAGUUUCCACCAAUAAUGAUAGUAUCAAUACCAAGCACCGUGUUUCUAAAAUUUUGCUUUCUUCCCACAUGAUUUGACUUUAAGGCUUGCUCUGUUAAAGCUUUAAUUACCCUAAGUUUUAUUGUUCACUUUGGUGAUUCAUUAUCAGAUUCAUUUUAGACCUUACGCAUGUAAACUGAUAAAGUUGAAACUUUGAGUUGAAUAAGUGUUAAAUUAACUUCACAUUGGUUGAUAAAACUGGUUGGUUCAUUAUAUUAGUCUUAGGCUGUAAUCAUACCAUUGAUCUCCAAUUUCAAUCAGGAAGAGACCAAGAGAUGCUACAAAAUGAAAGUAUCAAGAAAUGAGGAGCUAAAAAAUGAAAGUGAUUACUUGAAAUUUUAGUCACUAUUUUUGUACUGGAUUAAUUUGAUCAUUGAAGUGGACAUAAGCCUAGUUGAAACUUUAGAGUCUUUUCAUUGUAUAGGGAUAUAAUAAUAUGAUGGCCCUUCCUUUUAUUUUGAAAAUUUAUGAGAAAAAUGUGAGGACCCUAAGAUUCUCAAUCACAUAGAACUAAAUACUGCUAGAAUUGCUGGCAAAUGUCACUAAUGCAACAACAAAAGCUUAUCAUCCCUCUAGGACAGGUUGUCUACAUGGAUCGCAUAUUGCCAAUUUUUCUGAUGAUCUCUAAUAUUUAAUCAAAGCUCCCACUGAGCAGCUCAACAUCCCUUUUGAUGGUUAGGAUUAGAAUUGUGAAACUUUUGGAAGUUUAGGUAUUGGCGAUUGCAGAAAAGUUUCAGAAAGUGGCUACAUUAUGGAAGGGGUUUUAGGUGAAGUUUAAGUUGCAAAGAGAUUUAAUAUUGGUUGAGUGGGAGGAGAUACAAUACGGAAUGAUACUGACACAAUUUUGUUACAUAGCUGUCAUUGCUGCUAACCAUUUUCAAUCUUAGAUUAGACUUAGACAUUAAAUAAUAUAGGAAAACUAAGUAUUCUGAUUCCAAAUAUUACCGAAUGAUCCACUAUUGUGUUAGCCUGAUGGAUACUCCUACUUUUGCUCUUUCUCUCUCAAAUAUUUAUGGCUUUGCUGUACAUUUACUUUAAUUGGCAGAAUUUCUUAGAGACCGGGUUAAUUGUUGGUGGAUGGGAUAAAUAUGAAGGUGGACAAAUUUAUGGAGUUCCUCUGGGUGGAACAAUAGUACAACAACCUUUUGCUAUCGGAGGUAUUUCACUGUUAAAAAUGUGUUGAAGUACAAUUUUAUUAUUAUUAUUUCUGUAUUCAUGUUCAGCUAAACAUGUGAGUAUCCCUAUAUACAUAUAUUUUCUGUAUCAAUUGCCCAUGUUAUUCCCUUGAUAUCAAUUGCUUGUUGCAAAUGUGGGCAUGGGUUUUCUAUUGUGUUCAUUGUUAUUUCUAAAUUUAUAAUUGCUAGCCUGUUAGCAUUUUCCUUGGGAUGCAUGGCUUUUGUUUGCAAAGCUCUGGUUUACUUGAUUUUUCUUUUGCAGGAUCUGGCUCCAGUUACUUGUAUGGUUUCUUUGACCAAGCCUGGAAAGAGGGAAUGACCAAGGAUGAAGCUGAGGUAUGUGUUUGGAUUCUUACUGCUCUGCUUUUAUUAAGUUGAAAAAAAAUCACUUAAAAGUUUUUUUUUUUUUAAUGCAAAAACGUCUUCAGUGCCAAUGAAGUUGUCGUGGAUGUUAGUUUUGGGAACCUAAUCUGAUUUUCUCGUUGUUGCAACAAAGAUAUGAACACCAACUAAUAUAGCCAAAUAAUUUAGAAGCUAUUAGAAAUUCUGAGGAUGAUAUUUUUUGGGUGAAAUUUUUGUUUGAAUCUUUGUUGCUGAUAGUAUAUUUUGAUGUUGCAUGGCAGGAUUUAGUAAAAAAGGCUGUUUCACUGGCUAUUGCUCGUGAUGGUGCAAGUGGUGGGGUUGUCCGAACAGUCAUAGUAAGACAUCUUGACCAGUGACUUGUGUGUUUUCUUUAUUUUUCCUUAUAGUGAGAAUCUUAGUAGGUCUUGUAAGGAAGGAGGGUGGAUAAGGGAUUGAGAAAGAGGCAUAAUGCAUUGUCUUAAUAGUAAUAAACUGAAUUGACAACUUGUAUUUUAAAAACAAAGUUCAUAUUGUUUUACAUAUGCACAAUGAUUUGAAAUCACCUGAUUUUGAUGUUCGAAAUCCUUGUAGAUAAACUCAGAGGGAGUGACCAGGAAUUUCUACCCUGGCGACCAACUUCCAUUAUGGCACGAGGAAAUGGAGCCCCACAACUCCUUGCUAGACAUUCUUGGUGCCCCAGAGCCGAUGAGCAUGUGAUGUGAAGAAGUUGCCGUGUUUCAGAAAUGUUUCCUGAUAGAUUAUAUCUUGUCUUCUCUCUUUUAUGAACUAGCUAACGAUUUGUGUAGUCAAUUACUUUGUUUGGUUGGAUAUUUUUGAUGGUUGAGUUAUAUCCUUUUGUUACGUACCAUGAUUAACCUUUGUUUCCUUCAUCAUAUAGCUCCAAAGUAACGUGUACUUUGGUGAAUUGGUCUUGCAUAGAAAGCAAUUAUCACAAUUCAUUUUAAACUUGUUUUUGUUCGUGGUAGUUUGUGAUACAAAAUACCAGAAAUUUCAAGUAGUACACGGUUAAUAAUUUUAUAUAAAAUUUGUUGAUUUUUUAAACUUUUAGAUUUUUUUUUUAAAAAAAGUUGAAUUUAUAGUAAUUUAUUUGAUAGAUAACAUAAUUGAAUACUCGUUCAAAUUUUUACUAAGGAUCUCUAAUGAUGGUUUCUAUUCUGAAAAAAUGAAAGCUCGAAAAGAAUUGUUUUGAAGGGCUUAAUCAUCACGAUACGAUAGCAUAUACGUUGGACGAAGAUUAACAAAAAGAACGAAAGAAACUAGUAACCAUUGUUUUAGAGCGAGCCUGAAAGAAAUGAUCAAUGGGACCAUUAAUUAGGAUAAAUUUAUGGUGAAUAAGGAAUUAUGAAAAUUACUGAAAUUUUAAAUUUGAGAUUUGAACUUAUGCCAUAUUGGAGACAAUGCGGUAAUUUAGGGAUUAAAUGAGUGGUUCUUCGGUAUUCUUGAAAGGUUCUAGUAACUCCAAAACAUGUCAAUCUUAAGUUGGAUGAAAAAUCGAAGAACCAAAAGUGUGACAGAAAAAUAAGGAUAGGUGUUAACAUCUCCACUCUAAUAUUUCACUCCCUACUAAUAUUUCACUCCGAACAUUCAUCUAGUUAACAUCUCCACCCUUAGUAUUAUUAUUAAUGUUUUUCUUAUACCACUAUUAAAGUAGUGAGUGAGGACGUCAUUUUGGUAACAAAUAAAAUAGUUGUCGGUUUAAUUAUUUAUCUAAUUUUUAUAGUUUUUAAACUUAUUUUUUUUGUUCUUAUAUUUAAUAAUUAAAUUAUUUAAUUCUUGAAAUUUAUAUUUUAAUUCUCAAAAAUAUUUCAAUUAAAACUUGUUAAUCAACAGAGUUAAAAAAUUUAACAAUAAAAACCUUUUGUGAAUUAAAAUAUAAAUUUAAAAAAUUAUAAAAUUGAUUUAAUAUAUUUCAGGAAUUAAAAAAGCUAUUUAUUAAUUAUAAAAAAUAAAAUGAGUAAAGCAUAGUUAUUAAAAUAGAGGGAGUUAAGUGACAGUAGAGGGGAAGAAGGAAAGAAAGAUGAGCGUGAAGUUGAAUUGCGUGGGUGGUGGCGAGACUCACAACGUCUUCGUUUACGGUAGUCUGUUAGCCGAUGAGGUUGUCCAUACCCUAUUGAAGCGCGUCCCUCCAACCGCACCCGCCAUCCUUCACGACUAGUUUAGUACUCUCUCUCUCUCUCCACUUCAUUCGGAUUUUAUCGCUUCUCUAACUUGAUAGUAUUUGAUUUGCAGUCACAGGUUUAAGAUCAAAGGUCGCGUUUAUCCCGCUAUUCUCCCCGUCCAAAACAACAAAGUUAAUGGCAGGGUCUGUCUCUCUUUCUACAUAUUCCUCAUAAUUCUAAUAUAUUGCAUCCAUCCUUGUAUUUAUCUUUUUUUUUUUUUUUUUUUCCUUUCUAAAACAAAUCUUGAACAGAAGAGUGUUAAUUUUUUAUUUAUUUUUAAUCAGGUGCUUCUUGGUAUCUCCGGAGUAGAACUAGAUAUCUUAGAUGAGUUCGAGGAUGUUGAAUAUACUAGAACUGAUGUUGAGGUUUCCUUGAAGGUCAGUCUCUCUUGUUUACUAUUUCUCUUUCUAUAACAAAUGAGGCAAAUGUUACGUUUCCCAAAAAUACGUUAUUAAUCUCUGAAUGCUAAAUUUAAUUGUACAGGACAAGUCUGAAAAGUUACAAGUUUGCGCUUAUGUUUGGAGCAACCCAAAUGAUCCUAACUUAAAUGCAGAGUGGGAUUUUGAGGUCAGCAACCAUGCCAUCUUUCUUAUUUCCAUUUUCUCCUCUCAAAAUCAAUACAAUUCUCAAAUGUUUUGGGGACAAAAGAGAAACAUCAAAUGACCUUCAAAGUUCAAACAUAUUUAUUCUUCUUCGUAUGCUGGAAACAUUAGUUCGUGAUGCCAGCUAAUUUGUGGCCGAGGCCUUUGUUGGCUAUGAUUACUUGUGAUUGCAUUCAAAGUUUGAAGCUGUGGUCGAGGUGAUGGUUGCAGUUUCUUCACAAUUUUUGGUAUUGUGAGAAAUUGCGAACAAAUGCAGCUGAUGUGACCACAAUUUCAGUUGCUAUGUGUUCAUGGAGACCCUAAAUAUCUUGACAAUGUGUCCACAAUCACAUUUGGGAACUUCUUUUAAAACCUUGGUUGCAUUGUAAAACACUUUGAGUUAAAGGAAUUUUGCCGCAGGCUAAUUGGGGGAAGACGGGAUUUCCAUAUCAGAUGAGAAUGUUUUGUCUAAAACCAUGUGUAACAUGAGUAAUUGUCAGAGACAUAACGAUUCAAUUUCCUUGAUGAACAAGUUAUGACUACUUGUUUAUGUGCAUACAAAUUAAAAGGCAGAUAGCACUGUAAUAGUUAUACUUUGGUGACUUGGUACAUAGUUGACCACCUCCCUUUUGUGCUUUCCCUUUACUUCCCUCAUGUUUUGAUUUUGGUGAAGAUUUUCAAACUUCUUAAUUAAAGAGUUAUGCUAUGCUUAUAUAAAUGAUUGAAACUUCAUUGAGGUUUUAUUCAAGAUUAAUUUUGUAAUUGGUUUUAAAGGAUCGAUAAUAGGAGUUUGUCCUGUUUUUCAAGCCUGUUGGCCCAUCAGUAUAUGCAUAGUUUGUGUCAAUGUCGUUAAACUUUACAUGUUCUUUUAAUUUCUUCGUUUCAAAUUUGAAUUCAAAUUUAAGUUCCUUUUAUUGCAUCCCUCCCUUUUCUAGAAGUCGUUUUUUUUUCUGACUAUUCUGAUUUUUUAUUUGAAAGGAAUGGAAACAAGUUCACUUGAAUGAUUUCGUCAAGAUGACUGGUGGCUUUAUGCAAGAGUUGGAAUUGCCAGAAUCAAAGCCAAGAGUGCAGACUUAUGAAACCUUCUACAAGCAAGAAAACGAUAAGCCACUUGAACCUUGAUGUUUGCAGUUUGUAAAAAAUUCUGCAUUAUGUGCACUGUGCAGAGUUGUAUGAUUCAAUUAAGAAUCAUACCAUUCACUGUUAAUAAAUAUUAGUUACUCUCAAAUAAUUCAUUUGAUGAUUUAAUAAGCAUCUCAAUGCUAACAAUGACAAGUUUUCAGUAAUAUAUUUAUGUUAUAUUAUUGUAUUAUUAUCUUGUACAGUCUUAAUUCUAAUAUUUGAUUACCCCCUCACUAGAGAUCUAUAUACAAUAAAUAGAACAUAAGUUGCAAGAUAUAAAAUGAACUUAUAAUCCUUAGUAUUUCAUAGUAGAGUGUCAAAAUGGAGGCCCCGUUGAAAAUAAAGUAAAUCUCCCAAUAUUAUAGGUUUAUACAUAGCUGGGGGCUUUUUUUUUGGGGUGGGCGGGGGGAGUUGCAUUACAUUUUGGAAGUUAGGAGUCCUAUUUGUAUCUCUUGAACCAUGGCAAAUUCGUGCAGAAGGAACAUUUAAAGCAUUUUCAUCUAGGCUUAAAGGUGAAAGUCUUGACAAGUUCAGCUGUGUUGAAAGGUGAAUUAGGAUAAUUUUCGGUAUAUUUAUUUCAUUCUUAUUCUCUUUUAUCUAUUGAUUAUAGGAUAAAUUAAAUUUUGAAGUGUUUAUAAAAUAAAAAAUUUAUCAACGUUUUCUUGAAAAAAUUAUGGAACUCAUAAACUAAGAGGGGGUGAAUUGGUUUCUAAAUCAAAUCGAACUUAAAAAAAAACUUAUUUUCGAAGGUAUCACAAAUUUUGUAUGAAGUAAUAUUUAAUCAAUCACCUAAUACAAAUUUUUUUUGUUAAUGUUCCUUCUCAAAAAGAUAUCUUCUUUAAUCUUAAGUAAAUUAAUCAAGACUACAAUGAGAAAGAAAGAUUCAUGAGAAUAUAUACACCAAUUUUUAUAUUAGUUCACUCUCUAUCUCUAAAGAAGUUAAUCCAGUUAUCUAAUUCAAACCGAAUUAGAUUUUUACUAUGGAUAUAAUCCUUAUAAGCAAUCACAAUCAAUCUUAGUUCCUAUCGAGGAAAAGAGAUUAAGGUACCUAACCCUAAAAUUUUUUGUGAAUAAGAGCUUAAGAGAAACCUACCCUUAGCCUAAACUAUAAAAACCUAUUCUAACGUGACUUGGAAAUUCAUGCAUAUGCUAACAUGUAAAACACACGACAAACCGAGUCAAGGAAAGAGUCAAUGAGAAACACAACCUGAUCAAUCACAUGCAAAAACCUUCGCUUAUGUGUGUCUUUUUUUAUCUCAAGAAAAAUUUACAACUCACUCUUUAUCACGAGAUUUUCAUAAAAACGAAGUCUAGAAAUUAUGAGUCGCACACACUAUUCAAAGCACUGUUUCUUCUCUUUUUUUUUUCUUUUUUUUUUUCGUUCGUUUGUUAUUAAAUGAGAACAUAAGGUGGUUAUUUAUAGAGAAAACAGUUAUAACCGCCUGUAAUCGAUUAAAUAUUCAAUGUAAUCGAUUAUUUCGAAGAAGUAAUCGAUUAUAUUAUCAUUUCAAUCGAUUAAAGUAUUUUUCACAACAUAUGAAAAACUUUCAAGAACAAUGUAAUCGAUUAAAAUAUAGAUUCAUAAAAAAUCAUACAUAGUCUCAACUAAACUGUGUAAUUGAUUACAAUUAACUAAUAAUCGAUUAAAUGGAAAUGAGAAUCUUUCUGCAAGCUACAAACACUUGUAUAAUCGAUUAUGAUUAGUCUUGUAAUCAAUUAAAACAGAGAGUUUUAUGCACCAAAGAAAUUUCUAACUUUAAAAACAAUCUUCUUAACUCUACAUGAUGUAGACAUGAAAAAAUAGAGAUUAAGAUACAACAAUCAAUACAAAUACCAUUCAAAGAGUUAAACAUAUAAAAAAAAACAAAUUUUUUUCAAGCUUCUUCACAUUGCUCCCCUAUCUCUAAUAUUUCUUUGUAUCAUUUGCAUCUGUCUUGACUGAACUUUGAUCAUAAUUGUCUUAAGAUGAUCUUACCGACAUGAUACCUACCUUUCAUCAUAGUUGUAAUAGGAUAAUCUUGCUGCAAAUCAAAAGUUUUUAUCUAUUAAUAAGUUUUUUUAUUUUUGUCUUUCAAGUUUCCAUUCAGAAUUCUAGUAGAUACAAAGUGUCAUAUUGACUUAUCCCAAUAUAUAGGAUACAGAAUGAUAAAAAAAUAUAUAGGAUACAGAAGAACGGGAAUACAGCCUUUAAAUGGAAUUUAUUCUCUAUUUCCAUCAUGAACCAUCCAUUCGUUGCUUCUGUUCUGUGUUAUCAAUUAAUACUUCAUGUGCCGAAGAAAAGAGUAAGUAGGCACACAGUUUAUUUAAUAUGAAACUCCCUAGAAUGUUACAGUCAGAGAUCUGUCAUAAAUUUGAUACUACCCUAUAGUUCUAGAUGUAUAAAACUUUUAGUAAUAUAAUUUAUACUUUAGAAUCCAAAAUGAACUCGGACACAUGAUGAAAACAUUAAACGAUUACUUCUAAACAAAUACUGACACAAGCAAAAUCACAAACAGAAAGUGACAGGUAAAUCUUAUUGACAGGAAAUGAGCUGUUUCAUUAACAUGCAAUCAAAAAGACGGGAACGGUAUGGUAUCCAAUUCAUGUAUCAUUCAGAGAAUGAUGACGUCAAAAUAGCAUCGGAUUUAAGAUUCACUCAGCAAUCUCUCAUCAUUUCUGCUACUCCUACAGUCAUGUGGCAUUAGAAUAUAGAACUUCGGAAGCCACUUUUGACUACUAAUUUCUAUUACAUCAAGUGAGACAUGACCACUAAAUUCAGGAGAAGUUUAGUAUUUGUUGUCUCGAUCUCAUGCUGCUUGAGAUGAUGCUCAUAACUUAGUUAUGCUGGUAUUUUGUAUAAUUGUCUUCUGAUUACUUUCUGUCCUCUCAACCUGAGUAUAAACUUGGGGUCUUCAGAGACCCUCCUCUCCUUAUUCCUGUUAGUGUUUUGCUACCUUGCAGACAAACCUGCUACCCUCUCUACCUCAAGAUAGAUAAAAAAAACCAACAGAAAGGGAUAAGAGAUUACAAAAUUAAACGAGGAAACAACCCAAAUCACAUUUUAACAACAAGAGGGAAGGAAUCAUUGAUCUAGCUACAAAAGAGAUUUAUUAACAUGAUGGUUACACAAAUAAGGCGAACGAUUUAGCUUCAAAAACAAACGAGAUUACAAAAACCAGAACUACAUAGAACAAUGCAAACAAGAUUCAAAAUAAACUGCAGAACUUGAACAUGCAAAUCCACAAGGGUACCACCACCAUCACCACCUUCAAUUCAACCUCAUACACUCAUGCAUAUAUAAGCAGGCAUGACUAAUAAGCUCCUUGUGUGGCCUCAUUAAUUCUACCUUGAGCAUAACUUCCAUAAUCCUUUGCCCUCUCCUUUACAUCCCUUGCCUUAUCGGCAAGGUACCCUUUUGCAUAGUCAAGGGUGUCAUAACCCGCAGGCUGGUUCCCAGACACAUAGUUGUAAAUCCAAGACAAAGCAGCAAUGGCAGCCACACCACAGCCCCCAGAGAACAAAAAGCCAGAAGCAACUAGGAACAGCACAAACGCAGCAGGGACAAGGAUGGGGCUGAAGAUAACAAGAAGAGGGGUUGCAAUGAUCAAACCUAUGACAGUGCCUGUGAGGGUCAACCCAGACAGGAGCAAGAGUGUGAUGCCAAUAGUGGCAGCAGUUAUGAACUUCACUGUUUGGCGUGAAGGUGGGUUGUUAAUGCUGGUGUUGGUCUCAUACGUGGUUCCAUAGGGUGCUCCAUAUGAGGUUCCAUAGGAGUAGGACCCUCUAGGUUGAUCAGAAAUGGUUGCCAUGGUUGGUAUUUUUUUUUCUCUUGCUUUUUCAAGACUCUUAACCAAAAUUGAUAUAGAAUAAUGUGAUGAGAGUAACGA
rnacentral:lncRNA from 1 species